GCAGGAUAAAGCUAUUCACCAUUGUUUCAACAUGAAGGUUUGUAAUAAAAAUUUGUUUCUAUCAGCAUUGCUUUGCAUUGCUGUUGCAGGAGUUUUGGGUCAAGCUCCUAGUAAUCCUCCUACGUCUACGCCGGCGCCACCCACACCACCGGCUUCUACUCCUCCUCCGACGACUCAAGCACCGCCUACACCAACCGCCACUCCGCCACCGGUUUCUACUCCUCCUCCCACUUCAUCACCGCCCCCAGUGACAGCUUCUCCACCCCCAGUUUCAACUCCUCCACCCAGUUCUCCUCCUCCUGCAACUCCACCACCUGCUUCUCCUCCUCCUGCAACUCCACCUCCAGCUUCUCCACCUCCUGCCACUCCUCCACCAGCUUCUCCACCUCCCGCCACUCCACCACCUGCAACCCCACCGCCAGCAACUCCUCCUCCUGCUACCCCACCACCAGCUCCAUUGGCUUCUCCUCCAGCCACAGUCCCAGCUAUCUCUCCAGUACAAACACCAUUGACAUCGCCACCAGCUCCGCCGACCGAGGCCCCAGCACCUACCCUCGGGGCUGCUACGCCAGGUCCAGCUGGAACUGACACGGUACAUUUUCUCUUAUUCCACCAUUUUAUAUCCUUCUUCUCCACCUACGAUCAAGCUUUAUUAUCGGUUGAAAUUUAAGCCUUUACAGCAAGACUUAAAAUAUAAUUUUAUUAAUGGUUUUAUAAUAUUAAAUUAUAAUUUUAUCAUUCUUACACAUUAAUAUAUAAUGUGAUAAAAUUUUUUACUUUGGGUACCGUGCCAACUUCCUAACGUCGCCCUUAAUCUUACAUAAACAACGAUCUGAGCUUGUCUCGAUAUUAGCUAACCCUUAAGCCAUUAGAGAUGGCUAUUGGUUCCGUCUCGACAUACCUUCAACAUAAUCUGAUUUAAAAUUAAAUACUUAUAUCUAUUUUUUAACACAAUAUUUAAAAUUAUCUAUAAUUUCUUCUCAACUUAUAAUUAAAAUAACAAUACUUCAGCGUAUUCAAAUUUACGUACCUAUGUUAAUCUAAUUUGACAAUAAUAUUUAUGUUAAUUGAAUUAAAGCUUGAGAUAUUAAAUUUAAUUAAGACUCAACAUUGACGACAGUACGAUUCAACGUAUUAGAUUUAAUUAAUGUUGAUUUUGAACCUAUUAUUGCAGAGUGGAGCAAAUCAAAUGUGGACCGUACAAAAGAUGAUGGGAAGCUUAGCCAUGGGAUGGGCUCUGCUCAAUCUGAUGGUUUAAAACAAAAGAGUGCCUCACAUUUGAUGCAAUAGCUCUGUAAUGUUUCAUUCAUUUGCUUAUUUCGGCCUUGUUUUUCUCGUAUUCUAUGGGCUGAUGUCUCAUAUGGGACUUUUCUACUAGAGAGCCUACGUUACUUUACCAUUAUAUUGUAUUCUUUGAGACAUUAUUAUUAUUUUUUUACCUUUUGAGGACACUCUUUUUUUGUAUUUGAAGGAAUUUAUUGUUUAUUUUGUUUGGAAUAUGUUUGGUUGGAUUUAUUCGAUUCAUAUAUAUUAUAUAAAAGUAAUUAUGUUAUUAAGAAACGUAGUAAGAACUUACAAAUAUAAGGAUCGAAUCCCGAACUUCAUGCAAAUCAAUUUACAACCCACACAAGUUUAACAUUAAAUUAACGUGAUUGGUUAGUAAAUUCAUGUUUCUCUGUUUAAUUUGUUGAAUUCUUAUCAACUUUUUCAAUUAACAACAUGGAUCACAUCGACUGAUUGAAUCAGUUAUCUAAUCAAUUGAAUUAGUUAUCUGUUGUAAACUUGUGAAAAGAUAAUAAAAAAUUUAAAAAUUGAUAAUUGAAUUCACGAUCUGAACAAUUAAAUUAAAAAUGCAACAUCUUAUAACAUUGGGAGGAAGGGAAAACUGAUUUCUUAAGCAACUUAGGAUUGGAAGUGUAAUUAUAAUGUGAAUUACUUACGGUAGAAAAAGUGUGUCCAAAAUUGGAGAGCAUGCAUGUGGAAAGAAAUGAUUAAGAAUGAUAAUGACUUUAGUUGGUUAUAGUCAUAAAGACUUAUAGAUGAAGUUAAACCAUUAGGUCCACCAUUUAUGGGUUCCCUUUAUUUGCUUUGGAGUAGCUUUGAGAGUUGAGAUCCAUGGGAUGUGAGAAGUAGACUUUGAUUCAUUGGGAACUAGCUACAUUUUUCUUAGUCCUACCAUCAAUCCUAUUAGUGAUUAAAUUAUUAGUGGUAGCUAAUCCAAUAUAAUUAUUUAAUUAAUUAAAAUUUUAUAAAUAAUUUAUUUCUUAUCUCAACUUUUAAUUUUUUUAUAUAUUAAUUAAUUUUUUAUCUAGGUAAUUGGUUCGAAUAACACCAUAUAUUAUGAAUGAAUGUGUGGGGAUAGUUUGUUUUGUUGUUUUGUGAGAACUCAUGCUCUUGCACUUUUAAAGGACAAUCUCUAUAAACCGUAUUGGCUGUUGUGCUUUGGCCAAAUGGGUUGCUAACUAUCAUAUUAUUUUCAGUAAAAUCUAAUUGAAAGCCUUUCUCUUUUACGAUAGAAGUGCAUAUGUAAGAGUGUGUGUACCCUGAGUCUAUCAAUGCAUGCACACAAGAGUCAAGUAAAGAGAAAGUAUCAAUAAUAACGUCAGGUACAUCCUGCUCCUCUUGUGGCUUAAUACAAUAGCAUCGUUCUGGUACCAGAGUACUUGAUUUAAUCGGAAUCUCUUUCUUAGCUCUCUGACUACUCCCAGCAUUGCCAUUCCUAAUAAACUUUCUAUUUCUUUGAGAAGUGGGGGCAGAUCUCUCUGUUUGUGUAGGGUUACUGGCUAUCUUCUUAGCACAAUCUUUGAAGAGGUGAUCUUUGGAGCCACACCCAAAGCAUGCUCCUGUAACUCUCCAACACUCCCCAGAGUGGCUAUUGUUGCAGUGCUCACAAAUCAACUGAGAUGAUCUUCUCACUAACCUUCCUGUACUGGCCACAGAUGUCACCUGCUGUACGGACCUAGCUACUCAACCCUGACUCAGCCUCUGACCAUGCCUUUGAGUGUGAAUUGGUGUAGAAUAUGAUUGACCCUGAGAAUCCCUAGCCUUUUGGUAGCUGGAAAUGAUGCAUAACUAGUCUGUCCCUGACCUCGCUUAAUCUGGCUCCAAUUCUUUCUUUUCUGCUCUUCUUGCUUAACUUGCUCUACUUUCAAAGCUCUCUCCACUAAGGUAGAAAACUCUUGAAUAUUCAAAGCUGCAAGGGGUACCCUAAUCCCAUUAUUGAGGCCACGCUCAAAUCUUGCGCACUUAUCUGCUUCUAUAGAUACCAAUUCUUUGGCAUACCAGCUGAGUCGUAUAAACUCUCUCUCAUACUCAACAACAGUCAUAUCAUUCUGCUGAAGAUACAAAAACUCUGCCCUCCUCUUUUCUAAAUAGAUAGCACCAAUGUACUUUUUCUUGAAUUUAGCUAAGAAAAACUCCCAAAUCAAUAAUUCAUUAUUUGACAUUUUGAAACUAAUAAAAAAAAUUCCCCCUUUAUUUCAAAAACAAAAUAAAUCAUGUGACAAAAAAAUUUAAUGAUAUUAAUACAUUUUAAAAUUCACGUCAACAUUUUAACUAGAAUAAAAUAUUUAGUAUAAUUAAUAAUAUUAUAAAAGUUGAACUAACAAAUUAUAUAAAAAAGUAAAGUAUAAAAAUUUAAAUUUAAAUUUAAUCAUUAUUAUACAAUCUCAAAUAUAUAAACGGAUGAUAAUUGAAAAUUAAUUAUUAUUUUAAUGUAAAUAAAAUUUUAUUUUAUUUUUCUCCCUAAGCUAUUAAUCAUAACUUCUAAUUUGUCUGGAAUGAAAUGAAAUUUUAUUUUAGCCAUGGAGGCAGGGAACACGGUCAAGGAACAAGGUACAAAUGGUACACAAAACGUUGAGGUUCACUAGGGCUGUUGGCUAUGGCGGGACUUAGGGAUCAUGGACAAAUUACAAGAAACGAGGCUAAUUGUAUUUUGUCUCUUUAAUUUAAAAAAUGAGUAAAUUAGUCUUUAUAUAUUAAAUUAAAUAGUAAAUUAAUCAAUCUAUUAAAAUUUUUAUCUAUUUUUAUUGUUAAAAACUAAUUCCUAUAUGUUAGCAUGAAAUACACACGGUUAUUCCGUCAACCACAACCGAUUUUUAAUAGUAGAAGUGAUGAAAUUUUUAACAGUUUGCUCUUUGAUCUUACAUAUAGAGAUUACUUUAUCCAUUUUUUAAGUAAAGAGAAUAAAAUACAAUUUGACUCAUAAUAUAGGGACUUCCAUAAUACUUUUACCCUCCGCACCGAUAAGGUUUAUAAAAUAUUCAUGAAACCCGGGGAAAAUGAAACAUUAAGAGAAGAUAUACUUCAAUACAACUAUGCAAAUAAUCUUGGCCAUUCACAGAUUGAAAAAACAAUGAAAUUCCAAACGCUUCAUUCAAAGAGACAAUUCAAGAAAUAUGUGACUGAUGAAAAAAACUAUAUUUUGUAUUUACAUUUUACUUUCACCAGCACUAUGAAACUGCAACCAUACAGCAAUCAUUUAACACAUUUUACAGCAGGCGAGGCAAUAAAACUAGUUAAUUCCACCUCAUUUACCAUGCCUUGUAUUCAAAAAAAAUUCUCACAGAGGAUCACAAAUCCAUAAAUAUUUGGAAACCUGUGAAUGAAGAUGCUCAAAUUUGAGAUUAAUAGGCUUAAAGUAACGUAUGAAAAAUGAUUUGUACCUUGUAACUUCUGAGGGGUUUUACUCAAAUGCAGUAGCUACCAAUAUGAACCAUUGCCAACAUGUGAUGAUUCUAUCUAUGGUUUAUCAUACAUCCGUUCUCCGAAUCAUGAUGUCAGUGCCGCCAUUCUGCGCUUCUUCUAAAGGUGGAUUGCGUUCUCUCCCCUUUCAUCCUGAGGGAAUUCACAGGUUUCAGUGAUGGAUAAAUCACUUGGGGGGAUAAAACAAUCAACAGAAAGGCCUGGUAUGUUAAAGGCAACCUCUUCGAUCGUCCAAGUUUCUUCCAUCUUUGUUUUCGUAUGGUUCAUUGCAACUUCUCCAAACCUGAAAAGUGUAACGACGGUAUGUCCAGAAUGUGCUAUCACGAUACCUUCGACAGGAUGGUAAUCUUCGAGAAAUGUAUUGAUUGUAGUUUGCCAAUAAACCGUAUCACCGCCAGUAGAUUGAACGCGAGUUAAAUGUGAAUCUUCCAUUUGAACAAGUAGUCCAGUCUUCUGACUGAAGUAGCCAAAUAAAACAUGCCUUAUGAUCUCUGCAGGGCCUUCACUUCUUGCCUUGAGUGUCCGAGGACCGGCACAUAGCUUGAGGAUGAAGCAAUCUUCACCAUUAAUAUUUUUUUCUCCUAUGCAUCUUGCAUUAGCAAACAUGAUAGCUGUAGUUCUAGGGUCAAGACCCUAAAGCAGGAAUAUCAGAAAACUGAGAAGCAGCCAACGAUCAACAAUCGAAUAAAGGGAGGAAAUUUCUCACCUGAAGUGCACGACGCAAGGGUCUAACCGGCCCCUUUGCGGUGUGUGCACCAAGCCAAGGUGUAUACCUCCAUACAAGGUUCCCAUUACAACCAGCAUGAACCUUGCAGCCACUGACCGCAAGUUCGACAUACCACAUGUCCGGAUUCAUUUGCCAGAGUACAAACCAACCGGACUCGGCACCUCUAGAGACAUUACAGCUCUUAACAAUUCUCGUGGCGGUUUCGUAUUCACAAGCUAUCAUUUUGAGCUUUCCCAUUGCAUACGCAUUCUUAAUGGAGCUUUGUAACUUUUGAACCCCAGUGGCAGCUAUAUACUGCUGCAAUAUGUAGUGAGCAGAGGAAGUUUCCUGCACACCAUACCGCAAUCAAUGGAAAAAGAAUAGAAAAAAGAAAAAUUAAUAAUGGGAAAAGUGACAGCAUUUUAGCACUUGAAAUACAGCAAGGAAUAAACCCUAAUAAUGAUCCCUGCAGCCGUUAAAACCCUGUUUUUGCGCCUGAAAUUCUAAGUUCUAACAAUAUCUUUUGUAUCCAUCUGUUUGGAACCCAAGAAAAUUGUAUAUUUCUACAUGAUUUUUUGCAUUAAACAGGUAAUUAAAAAGAGAAAGAAUAAAAGGAGGACUAACAAUGGAAGUAUCUUUGAUGCUCAAGUGAGACAAAGGAUCAUUGGAGCUAACAUGAAUUGGAGCUAAAGGGGCGCCCAUGAUUCCAAGCAACAGCCUUAGAUUAGACCUUCUGUGGUUCGUGGAAGUACAAAACUGUCCUUUAACCCAUUGUCCUGUCACCGACCCAACCCACUUCGGAUCCCCGGAUUUCCCUCGGUCCGGCUCCGGACCUUCCAUGAGAGGAGAUAACGCUUCACCGACUGGCCUUACAGUCCCGGAUCUCGCCAUCAACGGUUCCGGUUUCACCACGUGAGCACCGCCAUGGUGGUUGUCUUUGUUUCCACGUAACGUAGUGGACAUGAGUGAAAGGGGUCUUGCAGGGCUGUUGGACCGCGAGCGGGAAGGUGAAAGCCCGCGAACUAUAUCUUCUUUGAGAGCUGAGAGAAAACCUUGCUUUUUCUCCAUUACUGGCCUGGUUCUUUUUCCUUUCCUUAAAAAAUUCAAAAUAAAUAAGUUUCCUUCUCUGAUUUGGAGCUGAAUAAAAAAAAAAGAAAACCAGAGACAAGAAAAAGGGCGAAAGUAUUAGAGAGGAGAAGGUGAGUGCCCAAGUUCCUUCAUGAUUAUGGAGAGAGUAAGAAGUGAGAACCCGAGAGCAGAAAUAUAUGCAUGUAUGCAUAAUAUUUAUCUUCUUUAUUUCAAAAAUUAGUAAAUUAGGCAUUAUUCACUAAAUUAGUAAAUUAAAAUUAGUAAAACUUACGUGUCACUGUUUAGUUAUUUUAUUAGUUAUAUCAAUUUUAAUAAUAAAAAUUGAUAAAAUUCUUAACAAAAAUGAUCAAUUCACUAUUUGAUCUAAUAUACCGAGACUAAUUUUUUCCUAUUUUUAAAUAGAGAGAGUAAAAUGCAAUUAAACACUAGUACAGUAGCCUAGAACCAACAAGUGUUGGUGCAGUGGUAAGGCAUACUGCAUUUUCAGAUAAAGAAAUUGGAUUCAAACAUUAGAUAUGAUAUUAUUGAAAAAAUCAAUCACAAAUUCAGGAAAGACUAACUUUCAUGAACCAUGAAACCGACCUAAUGAUAUCUCAACAAAACGACUAGUUUAAUUAUAAUAUGAAUUAUUGAUGCUAAUUUAUGUUGCACCGUGAGCGAAAAAUGUAAUAUUAAAAUCAUAUUUAUAUAAAAACUAAUCAACAAUUGAGUUAUUGUUAAAAUAGUAAAGUAUUUAUGAUUAAAUUUUAUUUAAAUAUUUCACAUAAAAUAAUUAAAAAAAUAUUAUUCUAAAUAUUCAAUCUUUUAUUAAAUAAAGACUUCUAAGCAAUUUAUUUGAUUAAAUUGGUAUACAUUAUAUAUAAUAUAAAUACCAAAUUUCAUAUAAAUAUAUAAUACAAAUAAUAAUUAGAAAUGAGAAUUUAUACGGAUUAGGUGAGCCACUUUUUUUCCUAUUACGUUUAUAGAUUUAUAUAUAAUAAAUUUUAUAUGUAUUAUUUAAUUCUUAUUUUGCACUUAUAAAAUGAGAUAAUUAGUCGAUUGAGUAUUAGCUUAACUGAUAUGAACAUUAUUACCAGUGUAAGAGGACGCGAGUUCGAAUGCGCUGAAAUGUAUUGUCCUCCUAUUUAUAUGUUAAAAAAGAACUUUGAGUAAUUUUAAACAUUAGUUUAUGUUAAAAAGAAGAUACAAUAAAAAUACAAAAUAAUUAAAUAAUAAUAAUAUGGCAGAACAAAUUGGGAAAUCCAAAGCAGAGUGUGAACAAAUUAUAUAGGAAUGGUAUUGAAAACUUAGUCGUAAAAUUAAAGCAAUAUCAUGACAUUGGUUAUCUUAGAUUUGGAACUUGUUGCUCUUACCAAACAAAUCCUUUGUCCAAUCAACAAAUUUCGUGAUGUCAUGAUGUGACUAAAUUAAACUAAAUUCGAUGUUUUUUAAGUAAAGUCUCGUUUUUAAGUUAUGUGGAUCUAAAAAAAAUUAUUUAGGAGAAUUUUAUUUCGAUUUAGGAAUUUAAUUUUUACAUUUAAUCGAGACUUAAUAUAAAGUUAUAGUAUUUGGGAGGUUCAUAUAUUAUAGGGAUUGGAUUAAAUUAGUAUCUCUAUUGUUAAAUGAAUUAAUUUAGUCCAUAUACUAUUAAAAAUAAUUAAAUAAGCCUAAAUUGUACCAAAAUUAACAUUUAUUGUAUAAUAAAUGUCUUAAUUUUUUUUUCAAUCACACUUCAAUUUUAAAUAAAAGAUUUAAUUUAUAGAUCCAUAAAAAGUUUAAAAUUAUUACUCUAUUAGACAAUAAAUGAUAUUUUUUAAACAAUAAAUGUUAACUCUGUUCCGGUUUAGCCUUAUUAGAUUCUUUUUAAUGGCAUAGGGAUUAAAUUGAUCCAUUUAAUAGUAAAAGAACUAAUUUGAUUAAGUUCCUAUAAUAGAGGUCUGAAUUUUGGAAUUAUUAUCGUUAGAAGAGUCUUACCUGAAUAGCACCCUCGGCCUAAAUAAGGUUAAGCUUAGAUUGUAAAACGAACGAAGGCACCCGUAAUUAUAAGAAAAAAAGUUCAUUGUAUAAAUAUAAUUAUAACGGCUAAAUCAAAUUAAUCCAUUUGUUAUUAAAUGGAUCAAUUUAGUCCUUAUACUAUUUAAAAGAAUCAAAUAAAUCUAAAUUACAACAGAGUUAACAUUUACUGUAUAAAAAUGUCUUGAAUUUUUUUUUCAACUACAAUUUAAUUCCAAAACCAAAAAUUUAAUUUACAAAACCAUGAAAACUUUAAAAUGUUAACUUUGUUUCAAUUUAACCGUAUUUAAUUCUUUUUAACAGUACCGAAAUUAAACUGAUCCGUUUAAUAAUAGAGGGACUAAUUUGAUCACAUCUAUAUUCACCUAUAAAAUUCUAACCCUUUUCAUUAAAUUGUAUUUGUACUCUUUUCGUAAAUAUGUUGAAUGCGUAGAUGGUGAAUGUAACAUUCCAUCCUCUACUUAUCUUUAAAUUCACAACACGUUAUAAUAAACACAUCUCACCUUUCACUUUUUUUUCUUAAAAUUACUUUGCAACAACUUGUUUUACUGCAAAUUAUGUCAUUGAUUAUUGUUUGCAAGUAAUCAUAUUAUCAUUAUUACUUGGCUUUGCUUAAAAAAUAUAGGGUAAAUUGUUAAAAUAGUCACUUUUAUUUUUCUCAAGUUAUAUUUUAGUUAUUUACGUUAAUAUAUUGUAACAUUUUAGUCAUUGAGUCAUUAAUUGCUAUUAACGGUGUAACGGUAAGCUGAUGUGGUACAUUAAAUAAUCAUUUCAAACAAAAUUUUUAGGUUAAAUUACACAAUUAGUCCCCAUAUUUUUUUCUUUUAUGUUCUUUUAAUUUUUUUUUCUUUAUUUCCAUUAUCUUCUACUUAUCCCUCUAUUUUCCUUCCUCCUCCAUCUCUUUUAACAUAAAAUGAACAAAAUUAAAUUGCUCAAAACGAAAAAAAUAUAGGGACUAAUUGUAUAAUUUAACCUAAAAUUUCCAUUUAAAAUGAUGAUUUAACGUGCCACGUCAGCUUACCCUUACACCGUUAACGACAAUUAACGUUCGGUGACUAAAAUGUUACAACAUGAUAACGUAAGUGACUAAAACGUAACAUUUCGAACAUAAGUAACUAAAAGAUGACCGAGAGAAACAAAAACGACUAUUUCGAUAGUUUACCCAAAAAUGUAUAUUUUAUAAUUAUUUGAUGUUGUUUUUAACUCUAUCCAUAUAUUUAAAGUUUCUAACAAAAUGACACCUAUUUUUUAUAAAUGUAAUAAAAAUAUUUAACAGAAUUUUAAAUUCAAAUGCGAAUAUUUAAAAAAGAUGGUAUGAGAAUCCCGUGUGUUGGCUUGAUGGUCAGGGUGUUCACCACCCUAGGUGUGAUCUGGAUUCGAGUCGCGUUAAUUAUGUUGUUGUUAAGGAUUUGGUCUCCAAUUGUAAUUAAAAAUAAUUGCUAUAAAUUGUCACCUUUAUCUCCCUUUUUUGUUUUAGUAAAUCUUAGUUGUCCAUUAAUUUUUUGUUUUUGAUGUGGAAUUGUGGGGUAUUUUGGACGGUUUGAGUCUUCUUAUUGAGUAAGGAUAUGACAAGGUGCUUAUUCAGUCUGACGGUUUUGAGGCAAUCAUCCAGGUGAAUCCUCCAAAAGGGUCCAAUUCUUUCUUGAUUUGGAAGAUCCAUCAGAUGUUAUCCCGGUUUAGACAGUGGAACAUUAGACACAUUUCUAAAAAGGAUAAUAAAGAAGCUGACUGCUUGGUCAAAUUGGUCCAACAUAUAUCACAUAAUUUACUUUUGUUUAAGACUUUCCCGUCGGAGGGGAUAGUCUAGUUUUUGUAAUUAGUUUAGUUAUGCUAUUUUUUUCACCAAAAAAAAAUCAUGGUCAACAUCUAUUCUAUUAACGAGCCUAUAGAAUGCGGAGGAUUAAUUACUGGGCUCGCUCCGAUAGAUACUUAGAAAAAUAAAAAUGAUAAUAAUAUUUUUUUUAAUAUUCACACAUAGCUUGAAAUUGUAAUUAUUUUAUCAAAAGUGAGGUUUUUGUAUAUUUAAUAGUAAGCACAUUAUUACCCAAAUUUAUUCAUGGAUUAUAUACACAAAUAUGAAUUUUUUUUGGGAAAUUAGGUGGAUUUAUGCACCCAAAAUAAAAAUGUUUAUAGAAGAUUGAGUUAAGCUUGAAUACACAUAAAUUUUUUUAUUUGAUCCGGUUUAAAUUAAAUUUGUCCGAAUAUUGCAUAACAUGAUUAAUCUAAUCGAUCGACGUAUCUUAUUAAAAGAAAAUAUAGGUGAAUAAAAUUGUAUAUGAAUCGGUCGAGUUAAAUUUGACUACAAAUAAUUUAAUUAUUUUAUCCGAUUUAAACCAAAUUUGUUGGCAUGUUAGAUGGGAUGAUUAAUCCAAUCAAACAACGUAUCUAUUAAAAUAUAGACAAAAUAGAGGGAAAAAGAAGAGAAAAUUUAGGUGAACAAACUGAUUUUAAAUAAAAUUAUUUAUGAAUUCAUCAAAUUAAAUUCGAGUCUUGAAUCAAUUCAAAUGGAAUAUGUCGAGCUAAAUGAUUAAUCGAAUCUAUAACCGUAUCUAGUGCAGAUUAACUAAUUAAUCUAAAUAAAUUGUUUAUAGAUCGAUCGAAUUAAUAACAUCUAAAUGACUUUUUAUUUAAUCUAAUUUGCUGAAUCAUAUGCUCGUGCCUAACUAAAAUGUACUAAAAAAAAGUAGACAAUUUGAUCUGAAAAAAUUACGGAUCGAAUUAAAUUUAAGUGUGAUUCUUUUUUUUUAAUUCAAUUCAAUUUAAAAUUAUUGGAUUGGAUUAUCAACCUAACUUAUAGAUAAAUCGGUUGAAUUAAAUUCUAGUCGAAUAUAUAUAUUUAUUACAUGUGCUAAAUUUAAAACUAAGACAAAACAACAAGGGGCAAAGAUCAAUAUUUGAAUAAUUAAAAAUUUUAUUUAUAAUUAUUUAAGGAUUUUAUCAUCAAAACGAAGGGCAAGUUUCGUUUUUUUUUUUAAUGCAUGAAAAGCUUAAACAUAACAUAAAUCAAAUAAUCAAACAACACUACUUCAAGCUUUAGCAUUUUUGGCUUCCUCACCGUCUUUGGUCUUCACCGAAACAUUUUUGGACGCCCCAAUUGGUGUCGAAGUUGCUGGCGGAGGAGGAGUUGGGACACGAGCCACCUUGGAUGGCAGUGCUUGAGUGGAAGGUGAAGGGUUGUUAAUCUCUGUUGCGCUGUACGAUUCGAGAGCUAAGUUGUUAUCAAAAGACCUGAAAACAAAUUGCGAGAGCUUCCUUUGACGACGAUUGCGUAUUGAAGACAUCAUAAGAGGAAAAACAAGAAGAGAAUAAAAAGCAAAGGAGAUUUUGAUAUUUUCUUGCAAUACAUAACACAAAUGAAAAAUAUAGACAUCAAAUUUUUUUAUAUAAAAAUAAAUUUAAAAAAUAUAAUAUAUCAAAUACACCAAAUAUUUUAUUAAAAAAUAGGGUACAAAAAUUACCUUGUAAUGUUAUUCUUUUUCGAGAUUAUUUGUUUUAGUUAUUCAAUUCAUUUUUUAAUUUUAUAUCAAGUUUCUUUUCAUUCCAUUUUAACUUGUGUUCAUAUUUUUUCUUCUUCCAUAUUUUUAAUAUAUUUAUAUUAUAUUCAUGUUUUUGUUAUAAUUAUAAUCAUAUGUUAGAAUACAUAAACUUUUAUAUAACUUUCACAUGUUAAAUAUUUGGUAUCUAUUAAACUCCAUGUGUUGAUCUGAUCGUGUUCAUCGCCUCAAGUGUGGCCUAAAUUUGAGUCGUGAUAGUCAUAUUGUUAUUAGGGCUUUACUCUCUUGUAAUUUACCAAAAAAAUUAUUUGUUAUAUAUAUAUAUAUAUAUAUUUACACAUUGUGUAUGCAUGUCGUAUUUAUAUUAUUUCCAUAUUGUAUUUUACUUUUUAUAUAGUUUGUCCUAGUGAUUAAAUUAAAAGAUUAAAUUAAAAAUAAGUUUUAUGUAUAUUUGUAUUGUAUUAUAUUUGAUAUAGUUUUUCAGAAUAAUUCAAUUGUUUUAAAAAUGAUUUUUGUGUUUGCCUUAUGUUUUAAGUUAUUUGUACGGUUAAAAACCGACAUACCUAAGACAUAACUAGUUAGUGACACGUGGUGUGCCACAUGUACAUCAUACUAAUAUAUGAAAACCAGUUUUUAAGAGUAAAUAUGGAUGAAAUUUUUAACAGAAGGACUGCUUUGCUUUUUUAUCUAAUGUACAGAGACUAAUUUACCUAUUUUUUAAUAAACGGGACAAAAUGCAAUCUGACUCUUAUUAUUGGAGCCUCCAUAAUAAUUUUAUUGGGAAAUAUUUAUUUAAAAUUGGAUUUUUUGGUCCGUGGAGCUCAGGAUAAAUAUGUGGCAUAAAUAAGAAAUGUGAAAAUAAAUAAAAAUUAUAUCACGAUAUGAAUAUAUGAAUAUAAAAUAUUAAUUUAAAUAAAUAAUAUAUAUACAUACGAGUUGUAAAAAUUAAGUGUGAUGUAAUCGACGUUAUAGAAAAAAUGGGUAAAAAUACCAUAAAGGACUUAUACUAGGAGUUAAAUUGUAUUUUACUCCCUUAACUAAAAAAUGAACAAAUUAAUCUUUGCAUGUUAGAUCAACAAGCAAUUUGUAAUGACCCAAAAUUCAUGGGCAUCGGAAAAGUAUAAUAUCGGGCCUCCGUCCUAGUAAAUUGAGUCCGAAAAUAAUUAUUAGAAAUAUUUACGAGACUAGUAGUGUGUUUAAUUAGGUUUUAAUUAAGUAAAUUUAGCUUAAUUUAGAGUAAUUAGUAAAAAGGAUUAAAUUGAAUAAGAGUAAAAGUUUAAUUAUAGAUUAAAGGAAAAUAACAGGGACCAAAUGGGCAAUUAAGCCACAUUUGGAAGUUGAGGCGGCAUAACAUUGUAAAAAUCUUAGAUUUUUAUAUUAUUAUUUAUAUAAAUAUAUAAAUUAAUUAUAAAGUAUAUUAUUAAAUUAAUUACAUUAUAAAUAUUAUAUUAUUAUAUAUAAAAGAAACAAAACAGAAAAGAAACAGAAUAGAAAGAACAAAGAAACAGAAUAGAAGAGACGAAACAGGGGAGAAGCAGGGGAGAAAGAAGAAAAAGAAGAAAAAAGGGAAAAUAGGGUUUUUGAAGCUUGAAAUUUAAAUUGGUAAGUCAAAUUAGCCCUUUUCUCUUAAUUCUAAUGUUUUAAAAGCUUUAAAACAAAGUUUUGAUGGAAUUAAGUUGAUAUUUUGUAAGUUCAUAGGUUUUCAAGUAUAGUUUAUGUUGAACAAAAGAGAUGAAUUAGGGAUUAACUUGAAGGAAUUUUAAGUUAGAAUUGAAAAAGGGAUUAAAUUGUAAAAGAAACUAUAAGUUUUAUGUUUUAGGGACUAAAUUGAGGGAAAUUCGAAAUUACCAAAAUAUGCUGAAAUUUUGAUAGUUAAAUUUUAGUUUGGAUGAAAUUUGAAUAGAAAUAGAGUGUGAAUUGAAUUAGGAAAGUAAGUGAAUUUAGUUAGGAUUAAAUUGAGAAUAAGAAAGAAAUUGAAUAGAAAUUUAAUUAUUAUCAUAAUUAGUGCUGAAAUUAAUAGUAUAAAUUAUUAUCAUUUUCGUAGCUAGCAAAGAACCAGAAGCGUCGGCACGGAAGGGAAAAGAGAAGAUUAUCGAGGAGUAAACUCGAGAAAAUUACGGUUUGUAUUACUAUAAUUCAAAUUAUUUAUUUUUUUUUAUGUUAAAUUUUAAUUUAUGUGUCUAGUAAAUGAAAUGUGAGGUAAGUAUUAAUAUUAGUAUUAGUAUUAUUAUUAGUAUUAUUAUUAUGAGUGGGAAUUAAAUUGAAUAGUUGAUAUGAAAUAAUAUUUGAAUUGUUUGUUGAUUGAAAGCGGGAAAUGAAUUUAAAUCGAAUAGUGACCGAUAUUAAAUUGAAUGGAAAUGUAUUGAGUUGUGAAAGUAUGUUAAUUGCGGAUUAAUUAUUGAUUGAAAGGUGGAAAAAUGAUUGAAUUGAAAGUGUGAAAAAGUGUGAUUGAAUUGAGAAUAUAUGUGAUUUAAAUACCCUAUUAACUAGUCGGGCUGAGUCGGAUAUAGUUGGCAUGCCAUAGGAUUGGAAGAGUUCAGGGAUACUUCGACCUCGAGUCGAUGAGACACUGGGUGUCACUAUAUUUCUUCGGAUAGAUUCGAUGAGGUACUGGGUACCAACUUUCUUCGGCUUUGCCGAUGAGACACUGGGUGUCAACUAUUGCUUCGAACUAUCCGAUGAGGCACUGGGUGCCAUUCUGGUGUGUUUGGUUGGAUCCGUGUAUCCGCCAAAGUCCGAGUUUUGUUAAUAGGGUAAAUGAUGAAAUGAUAAACCGAACGAGUUGGUCAAACGAGCUAUUGAAAUGAUAUGAAAAAGUUGAAUUGUGAAUUGAAAUGUGAAAUGAGAUUGAGAAAUGAACCUAAGGUUCGUGAAUUAUUCAAACUCAAAUUGUGGAUAUACGAUAUUGGUUGAUGAAUUGCUAUUGUUGAAAUAUUUAAUUUAAAUUGUAUAUACGAUUUAUGCAUUACAUGUACAUUAUUGUUAUAAUUUGAAUUAUGGUAAUACCACUGAGUAUGAAUUACUCAGCGUACGGUUGUUUCCGUGCGCAGGUCAAUAGAAGUCAAAGGUCCCGGUUCAGCAUCCAGAUUAAUCCCGGCUUCGGCAAAACUUGGUGAUGUAUUUUUCCUUUGGUAAAGGUGGCAUGUACAUAGAUUGUGUAUAAAGGUUAUUAUGUUUUAUUAUAUAAUGGUUAAAAAUGUUAGUAUUAAAAGUUUAUGGAUUUUAAUGAAAGAAGUCUAUCUAUUUUAUCUAAUUAGUACAUUGUUAAAUUUUAAAUUGGUAUUGUGUAGAUUGAGUUUGAUUAGAAGUAUUUAGAAUAGAAAAUGUGAAUGUGAAAUGAAUUGGUUGAAUUGAUGAUAUUUGGGAACUAUAUGGUUUUAAUUUGCAGGGGGUUUUAUGUAAAAAUAAGCAGAAAUGCUGCCGAGAUUUUUAUAAAAAAAAAAUGAAGUCAUUUGGUAAACAAAUUAAUAAAUUUUAUGAAUUAUUUUAAUAUAUUGGUUAUUUAUUUAAGAAUUGUUGUAAAUCGUUCGAUACGUCCGGUAAUGCCUCGUAAUUCUGUUCCGGUGACGGUUCGGGGUUAAGGGGUGUUACAUUUUAUGGUAUCAGAGCUAUCAGGUUUAGCCGAUUCUCGGCCUAAAUCGAGCUCGGAAUUGAGUCUAGAUGUACAUGCCACUGUCGAGUUAAACUGAGUCGGGAUUUUUGGAUGCUGACCUAUUUGUUUGUUUUGUUUUAUAGAUUAAAGAUGUCUGAAGAAAGAAUAAAUGAUACUGAUGAAAGAAUGUAUAGUGAAGAUAGAGAAUUAGAUGAAACAGAAUCUGUUGCACCGAGUGUGAAUCCGUUAGGCAACCAACCUUCUAAUGUAGAACGAGAAAAUGUCAGAGAUAGAGAUGAAUCCCAAUUACUGAGAAUUAUAGCUGAUGCAUUACAAAGAGUAGCAGGAACUACUCCUGUUACGACUUCAGUACCUACUGUUAGACGGGCUCCGAUAAAGGAACUGAGGAAAUAUGGUGCCACUGAAUUUAUGGGUCUAAAAGGAGUUGAUCCAUCCAUAGCUGAAAAUUGGAUGGAGUCGACUAAAAGAAUUUUGCAGCAAUUGGAUUGUACCCCCCGAGAGUGUUUAAUCUGUGCCGUAUCGUUAUUACAAGGGGAGGCUUAUCUAUGGUGGGAAUCAGUGGUUCGACAUUUACCAGAGAGUCAGAUAACGUGGGAUCUAUUUCAGAAGGAGUUUCAAAAGAAAUAUAUCGGAGAGAUGUAUAUUGAAGACAAGAAACAAGAGUUUUUGUUGCUACAACAGGGUGAUAUGUCAGUAAUAGAUUAUGAGAGGGAAUUCUCGAGACUCAGUAGAUAUGCCUCUGAGUUUAUUCCGACAGAAGCCGAUAGUUGUAAAAGAUUUUUACGGGGUUUACGAGACGAGAUCAAAGUGCAGCUAGUAUCCCAUCGGAUCACUGAGUUAGUAGAUUUGAUUGAACGAGCUAAAAUGGUGGAACAAGUUCUGGGCCUCGACAAAAAGACUGAAGUUGUUAGACCAACCGGGAAGCGUACAGGAACUACCAGUUCGAAUCCUCAGCCGAAAAGACCAAAGGAAUUCCAAAGUGGUUGGAGAUCCAGUUUCAGGUCAGACAGAGGUGGUAGAAGUAGGGGAAAACAGACGAUGACAUCUACUGGCAGUGUGAGAGGUCCUUCCCGAGAAAUAGAUAUUCCAGACUGCCAACACUGCGGAAAGAAACACAGAGGGGAAUGUUGGAAAUUAACUAGAGGCUGUUUUCGAUGUGGUUCUACAGACCAUUUCAUCAGAGACUGUCCGAAAGUUGAUAGUACUGUACCCGUGACAUCACAGAGAUCGGUAUCUACAGCUAGAAGCAGAGGGUUAGGAAGAGGUGGUUCGGUUUCAAGGGGAGGAAGUAUUAGGAGAAGCAAUGAUAUUGCUACUCAGCAGUCUGAGGCUAAAGUACCUGCCAGAGCUUAUGUGGUCAGAACACGGGAAGAAGGUGACGCCCACGAUGUAGUAACAGGUAUAUUCUUACUAUAUUCUGAGCCUGUUUAUGCUUUAAUUGAUCCCGGAUCUUCACAUUCUUAUAUAAAUUCAAAAUUAGUUGAAUUGGGAAAAUUUAAUUCUGAAAUAUCUAGAGUGACUGUAGAAGUGUCGAGUCCGUUGGGGCAAACAGUAUUAGUGAAUCAGAUCUGUCCGAGAUGCCCGUUAAUUAUACAAAAUAAAACUUUUCCUAUUGACCUGUUGAUUAUGCCAUUUGGAGAUUUUGAUAUAAUACUGGGGAUGGAUUGGUUGGCUGAGCACGGAGUGGUAUUGGAUUGUUAUAAAAAGAAGUUUAGUAUUCAGACAGAAGACGGGGACAGAAUUGAGGUAAAUGGUAUCCGUACUAAUGGGCCGACACGUAUUAUUUCGGCAAUAAAGGCUAAUAAAUUGCUUCAGCGGGGUUGUACAGCGUAUUUAGCCUAUGUUAUUAAUUCUGAUUUGGUUGGUAGUCAGUGCAGUAAGAUUAGAACCGUAUGUGAGUUUCCAGAUGUAUUUCCUGAAGAGCUACCGGGUUUACCACCUGACAGAGAGGUUGAAUUUGCUAUAGAAGUGUAUCCGGGUACAGCACCAAUCUCUAUACCACCGUAUCGAAUGUCACCCACUGAGUUGAAAGAGUUGAAAGUGCAGUUACAGGACUUGUCAGAUCGUGGAUUUAUUAGACCGAGCAUUUCACCUUGGGGAGCUCCAGUAUUGUUUGUUAAAAAGAAAGAUGGAUCGAUGCGGCUUUGUAUUGAUUACCGGCAGUUAAACAAAGUGACGAUCAAGAACCGGUAUCCGUUACCCCGUAUAGAUGAUUUAUUUGAUCAGCUAAAAGGAGCUUCAGUAUUUUCAAAGAUUGACUUAAGAUCUGGGUAUUAUCAGCUGAAGGUAAAAGAAAGUGAUGUUCCGAAGACUGCAUUUCGUACUCGAUAUGGUCAUUAUGAAUUUUUGGUGAUGCCGUUCGGGUUGACUAAUGCUCCAGCUGCUUUUAUGGAUCUGAUGAAUCGUAUUUUUCAGCCGUAUUUAGAUCAGUUUGUGGUGGUUUUUAUUGAUGACAUAUUGGUUUAUUCGAAGUCAGAGUCAGAGCAUGAUCAGCAUCUCAGAACCGUGCUACAGAUUCUGCGAGAAAAACAGUUGUACGGGAAACUAAGUAAAUGUGAAUUCUGGUUACCAGAGGUAGUUUGUUAGCUGAGUUAAGAGUCAAGCCGGUGAUGUUUGAUCAAAUCAGAGCAGCACAGUUAAAAGAUGAAAAGUUGAUGAGGAAAAGAGAAAUGGUACAGUAUGGUGCGGUAGAAAAUUUUAGUAUUGACGAGCAUGAUUGUUUGAGAUUUCGGAAUCGAAUUUGUGUUCCAUCUACUUCUGAGAUUAAAGAAUUGAUUCUCCGAGAAGCACAUGAUAGUAUUUUUGCUUUGCACCCAGGAGGAACGAAGAUGUAUCGUGAUCUACGAGAACUGUAUUGGUGGCCAGGAAUGAAGAAAGAUAUAGUUGAAUAUGUCAGUAAAUGCUUGACUUGUCAGCGGGUAAAAGCAGAACAUCAGGUACCAACAAGCCUGUUACAGCCUAUUACUAUUCCCGAGUGGAAAUGGGAUCGCAUUACCAUGGAUUUUGUUACGGGGUUGCCAUUAUCAGUGAGUAAAAAGAAUGUUAUUUGGGUGAUUGUUGAUCGACUCACAAAAUCAGCUCAUUUUAUAGCAGUUAGAACCGACUGGUCAUUACAGAAGCUUGCCGAGGUUUAUAUUCGAGAAAUUGUUAGAUUACAUGGUAUUCCGGUAUCAAUAAUUUCAGACAGAGAUCCUCGAUUCACUUCGAGAUUUUGGAAGCAGCUGCAUGAAUCAUUGGGUACUCGACUUAGUUUCAGUACAGCUUUUCAUCCUCAAACUGAUGGACAAUCUGAACGAGUAAUUCAGAUAUUAGAAGAUAUGCUUCGAGCUUGUGUCAUUGAUUUUGAAUCAGGUUGGGAACGUUAUUUACCAUUGGCCGAGUUUGUUUAUAAUAAUAGUUUUCAAUCUAGUAUUCAAAUGGCUCCAUAUGAAGCACUUUAUGGUCGAAGGUGUCGAUCACCAAUAUGUUGGACAGAAUUAAGAGAAAGAAAAGUGAUUGGGCCGGAAUUGAUUCAAGAGACAGAAGAAACAGUUAAAAAGAUUAAAGAUAGACUGAAAGCCGCUUUCGACAGACAGAAAUCUUACGCAGACUUGAAACGACGAGACAUUGAAUAUUCUGUUGGUGAUAAGGUAUUCCUCAAAGUAUCGCCGUGGAAGAAAAUUUUGAGAUUUGGUCGGAAGGGAAAAUUAAGUCCGCGCUUUAUUGGGCCGUAUGAGAUAGUGGAAAGAAUUGGGCCUGUUGCUUAUCGAUUAUCCUUACCUCCAGAGUUACAGAAAAUUCAUGAUGUUUUUCAUGUUUCGAUGCUUCGGAGAUAUAGAUCGGAUCCUUCUCAUGUUAUUCCCACUGAAGACAUUGAACUUCGAUCUGAUUUAACUUAUGAAGAAGAACCAGUUCAAAUAUUAGCACGAGAAGUGAAAGAAUUAAGAAAUAAACGGGUUCCUUUAGUAAAAGUUUUAUGGAGAAGCCAUAGUGUGGAAGAAGCAACUUGGGAACCGGAAGAGACAAUGAGAGCACAAUAUCCUCAUCUCUUCUCAGGUAAAUUUCGAGGACGAAAUUUAUUAAGAGGGGGAGAAAUGUAAUGACCCAAAAUUCAUGGGCAUCGGAAAAGUAUAAUAUCGGGCCUCCGUCCUAGUAAAUUGAGUCCGAAAAUAAUUAUUAGAAAUAUUUACGAGACUAGUAGUGUGUUUAAUUAGGUUUUAAUUAAGUAAAUUUAGCUUAAUUUAGAGUAAUUAGUAAAAAGGAUUAAAUUGAAUAAGAGUAAAAGUUUAAUUAUAGAUUAAAGGAAAAUAACAGGGACCAAAUGGGCAAUUAAGCCACAUUUGGAAGUUGAGGCGGCAUAACAUUGUAAAAAUCUUAGAUUUUUAUAUUAUUAUUUAUAUAAAUAUAUAAAUUAAUUAUAAAGUAUAUUAUUAAAUUAAUUACAUUAUAAAUAUUAUAUUAUUAUAUAUAAAAGAAACAAAACAGAAAAGAAACAGAAUAGAAAGAACAAAGAAACAGAAUAGAAGAGACGAAACAGGGGAGAAGCAGGGGAGAAAGAAGAAAAAGAAGAAAAAAGGGAAAAUAGGGUUUUUGAAGCUUGAAAUUUAAAUUGGUAAGUCAAAUUAGCCCUUUUCUCUUAAUUCUAAUGUUUUAAAAGCUUUAAAACAAAGUUUUGAUGGAAUUAAGUUGAUAUUUUGUAAGUUCAUAGGUUUUCAAGUAUAGUUUAUGUUGAACAAAAGAGAUGAAUUAGGGAUUAACUUGAAGGAAUUUUAAGUUAGAAUUGAAAAAGGGAUUAAAUUGUAAAAGAAACUAUAAGUUUUAUGUUUUAGGGACUAAAUUGAGGGAAAUUCGAAAUUACCAAAAUAUGCUGAAAUUUUGAUAGUUAAAUUUUAGUUUGGAUGAAAUUUGAAUAGAAAUAGAGUGUGAAUUGAAUUAGGAAAGUAAGUGAAUUUAGUUAGGAUUAAAUUGAGAAUAAGAAAGAAAUUGAAUAGAAAUUUAAUUAUUAUCAUAAUUAGUGCUGAAAUUAAUAGUAUAAAUUAUUAUCAUUUUCGUAGCUAGCAAAGAACCAGAAGCGUCGGCACGGAAGGGAAAAGAGAAGAUUAUCGAGGAGUAAACUCGAGAAAAUUACGGUUUGUAUUACUAUAAUUCAAAUUAUUUAUUUUUUUUAUGUUAAAUUUUAAUUUAUGUGUCUAGUAAAUGAAAUGUGAGGUAAGUAUUAAUAUUAGUAUUAGUAUUAUUAUUAGUAUUAUUAUUAUGAGUGGGAAUUAAAUUGAAUAGUUGAUAUGAAAUAAUAUUUGAAUUGUUUGUUGAUUGAAAGCGGGAAAUGAAUUUAAAUCGAAUAGUGACCGAUAUUAAAUUGAAUGGAAAUGUAUUGAGUUGUGAAAGUAUGUUAAUUGCGGAUUAAUUAUUGAUUGAAAGGUGGAAAAAUGAUUGAAUUGAAAGUGUGAAAAAGUGUGAUUGAAUUGAGAAUAUAUGUGAUUUAAAUACCCUAUUAACUAGUCGGGCUGAGUCGGAUAUAGUUGGCAUGCCAUAGGAUUGGAAGAGUUCAGGGAUACUUCGACCUCGAGUCGAUGAGACACUGGGUGUCACUAUAUUUCUUCGGAUAGAUUCGAUGAGGUACUGGGUACCAACUUUCUUCGGCUUUGCCGAUGAGACACUGGGUGUCAACUAUUGCUUCGAACUAUCCGAUGAGGCACUGGGUGCCAUUCUGGUGUGUUUGGUUGGAUCCGUGUAUCCGCCAAAGUCCGAGUUUUGUUAAUAGGGUAAAUGAUGAAAUGAUAAACCGAACGAGUUGGUCAAACGAGCUAUUGAAAUGAUAUGAAAAAGUUGAAUUGUGAAUUGAAAUGUGAAAUGAGAUUGAGAAAUGAACCUAAGGUUCGUGAAUUAUUCAAACUCAAAUUGUGGAUAUACGAUAUUGGUUGAUGAAUUGCUAUUGUUGAAAUAUUUAAUUUAAAUUGUAUAUACGAUUUAUGCAUUACAUGUACAUUAUUGUUAUAAUUUGAAUUAUGGUAAUACCACUGAGUAUGAAUUACUCAGCGUACGGUUGUUUCCGUGCGCAGGUCAAUAGAAGUCAAAGGUCCCGGUUCAGCAUCCAGAUUAAUCCCGGCUUCGGCAAAACUUGGUGAUGUAUUUUUCCUUUGGUAAAGGUGGCAUGUACAUAGAUUGUGUAUAAAGGUUAUUAUGUUUUAUUAUAUAAUGGUUAAAAAUGUUAGUAUUAAAAGUUUAUGGAUUUUAAUGAAAGAAGUCUAUCUAUUUUAUCUAAUUAGUACAUUGUUAAAUUUUAAAUUGGUAUUGUGUAGAUUGAGUUUGAUUAGAAGUAUUUAGAAUAGAAAAUGUGAAUGUGAAAUGAAUUGGUUGAAUUGAUGAUAUUUGGGAACUAUAUGGUUUUAAUUUGCAGGGGGUUUUAUGUAAAAAUAAGCAGAAAUGCUGCCGAGAUUUUUAUAAAAAAAAAAAAAUGAAGUCAUUUGGUAAACAAAUUAAUAAAUUUUAUGAAUUAUUUUAAUAUAUUGGUUAUUUAUUUAAGAAUUGUUGUAAAUCGUUCGAUACGUCCGGUAAUGCCUUGUAAUUCUGUUCCGGCGACGGUUCGGGGUUAAGGGGUGUUACACAAUUUGACCAUUUCUGUUAAAAAAUUUAUUUAUUUGUACUAUUAAAAUUUGACAUGACUAACGAAAUAACCAAAUAGUGACACAUGGUGAUGCAAGCCUCAAUGUCCAAUUCUAGACCCAUGGAUGCAAUGAGCUUUUUUUUUUUACCUCAAGGCCCAAUAACAAGAUUAAAAAAAAAGUAGAUCAAACCAAGAUUGAAUGAGAUUGCCCAAGACUUUGUUACAAAGAACUUAGAAACGCAUACGAGGAGAAAAGAAAAUCAAGAUUCACUUUAUUGUUUUCAAGAAAAUCAAGAAACCGAAACUUGAUCAAAUUUUACUUUUUUGGGAUAUAAUCAAGAAAAUCAAUAUUUUAAAUAUUGGAAUUCUUGGUCCCAGAAACUAAUUCUUGAAGCCAAUGCGCGAUGGAUCACACUGUCGAGCUUGAACGAGCCAAUUUUGGUAGCGAACGAAUCACAAUUUCAAGUUUUUGAAAAUCGACCCAUUUGGGUGUCCACAAGCCCAAGGUGUCCCUCCCCCCAAAUGUUAUUGUAUUAUUCAUCUUUUGUUUAAAUAAAUAUUCUUUGAGUUUAUCUCUCCAAGAAUUGUUCUUGAAUUUUUUUUUAGAAGUUUUACCAAUCUUUUAGAUUGUAGGAAUCAAUUGGAGGGGAGAUAAGAGUCAUUUGAAGAGUGCCGUGAUUUAUUCAAUUUCAAGACUCCUUAAUAUACCUAUCAUGCCAUUUUCAUCUUCUUCUUGCUUUCUUCUUUCUUUUGUUUAGGUUUCUGUUCGAUUCUUCUUGUUUUCAUUUUAAUCUUUAUUUGAUUCAAUUUCAUGUCAUGAACAGCCAAAAAUGACGUUCUCCCAUCACUAUUCCUUAAGAAACACUCAAAAAUACUUAUUUUAUUUUCUUCUAGUGUUGGUUUUUUUAUUAUAAAAUAAUUUUGUUUUGGCUUAAAAAUUCAUUCUAAUAAAUCGUUUUGAUUGUUUUGUUUUAGAUUUGUUUGGAGGCUUUCUUAGAGUUCAAGAACGGUUUCUUUUCUUCCAAUAAACCCUAUUAAACUCAUUCUUGAACUCUUUUUUGGCCGCCCUUCUCUUCUUUACUCUUUGAUUUUCUCUUUUCAUUCUUUUAAUUCAAGAACUAAUCUGAUUUUGUUUCUUUGUUCUAAUCUAAAUCGGUCACCUAUUAUCUCAACAAAAUCGGUUCAAAUAUUCUCCAGUUUAUUGGAUCUUCAUCAUUCUUUGUUGGCCGCACCUUCCUUACCUAUUUUCUGGAAUUUUCAUUCGAUUUAAUACUUAUUUUUUCAAAUAUGUUCUUAUUAACCUAUUUUCUCAUCUUGGCAACCUUAAUUCAAAUGGAGUUCAUUAUGAACAAGUUCUUUCCAUAACUGACUUGAUUUCAUUUGCUACUGUUGACACCAUUUUUUGGAUGAAAACGGAGUCAACUUGGGUUUUGAAAAAUGAAACGGGAGUCGCCACCAAUCCUUUUUUAUGAGGUGUGAUUGGAUCACCUUGGAAAGUGGUUGUUUUUAAUAAACGGUUUGAUUUUAUUAAAACAACAAGUUUGGUUCACGAAAUUCAGAAAAACGGGUUCGGGAGUCGGUUACGCACGAGGAAGGAUUAGCACCCUCGAUACGCCCAAAAUUGGUACCUAGUUGAUUACUUAAUGUCUUAAUGUCGAAAAUUGAGAACUUUGAAGAAUUUUAAAAAUACGAUCCUUUUAUUAAAACGUUGAAAAUUUUUAGGAAAAGGGAAAUAUUUCACGUUAUUCGAGAAAGAAAACCAUAUCCAAAAAAAUAGGACACAAUGUCUUGAAUUCCCGAUAUGCGACUGAAAAAUGCUUAUUCAAAAAGUACUUUUAGCUAUCUCGGAUUUGAAAGCGAGAUCACAACCAGUAAGUUAGGACGCAAUCCUGUUUUAAUCCCGAGAUUAUUUAAAACUUGAAUUUGAAAAGAUUCGUGUAUUUAGAUUUCUUGUGGAAAUCGAGACCCAGUAAGCUAAGGUACGGCAUUCUCAAAUCUAAACACGAGAUUUUGCUUAUUCAAAAAUCAUAAUUUAUGCAAUGAAAUGAAUUAAUCUAACAUGAAAUAAUAAAACACGAUGUUAAUACUCACAACAAGACAAUAUUGAAUACAAUAGUGCAAAAAUAAUACGAACAAUUGCAACAAAAAUAAGAUAAAUACAAAGUAUAAAUCAAUAACAUACGAAAGCAAAUAAAAUUAAAGCAUUCAUUCAAGUCAAUAAUGAAAAUGAAAUAAAUAAAUAAAUGAAUAAGAAUAUAAAAAAGUAAAAAGAUAUAUGUGUGUGCAUAAAUUAUGAAAAUGUAAAAAUCUAUGUAUGUAAAAAUAUAUGUAAAAAUGUAUGUGUACAUUUAUGUAUAUGUAUAAAGUUAUGAAAUAUAUAAAAUAUAAGAUAGGUAUAUGUAUAUAUUUUUAUAAAAAUAAAAACGUACAUAUAUAUUAUGUGCAUGUAUGCAUUAUAAAGUAUAUAAAAGUAUAUGUAUACAAGGAUAUAUAAAUAAAUAAGAUAUAAAGUAUAUAAGUAUAUAUUUAUGAAAAUUAAGAAAUAUAUAUAUAUAUAGACAUGCGGCUAUAUACAUAGAAUAAUAAAAGAUAAAUAUGUAUAUAUAUUCAUAAAAAUAAAAUAUGUGUAUUCGUAUAUUAAAGUAUAAAGUAUAAAUAAUAUAUAUCUAAGUAGAUAUAUAUAUAUAAGUAAACUUGGAAAAUUAUAUGCGUACACAUACUAUAAAAAUAUGAAUGUAUAUAUAUAUAAAUUAUAGAAUGUAUUAAAGUGUAAGUGUAUAUAGGUAUGUACACAUAUAACAUAAUCUAAAAACAGUGUAAAUGGAUAAACAAUAAAGGCAAAUAAUAAAAAUAAAAGCAAUAAUGACAAUAAUAAUAAUGGUAAUAAAACUAAUUACUUUUUUGUAAUUAAACAAGCAGAAGCGCAAAUAUGAUAAAAAAGAAAAAAAGUCACCUCCAAAAAUCUAUUCUGGUUUUCUAUUUUCCUUAAUGUUCAUAGCCAAAUGAAAGAAGAGAAAACUCUUCUUCUUUUACAGUAAACUUGGCACUUGCCGAAAAGGAAAAAGAAAAAUCAAAGAAAACCCCCCUCUCUUUUUCAUUUUUCUGCGGCCUUUUCAGUCGAUUUUACACUUUUUUUCUAUUUCUAUUACUAUUUCUUCCUCUGUUCUUGCUGCUUGUUUCUUUCGUGUUUGUUUGCAGGUCUUUGGUGAAGGCGGAGGAGUGGCUUGCCGUUUUGGUGCAAGGCUUGGCUGGCCGUGGCAGACCUCGGGCGUGGUGUGCGCUGAGGAGGCACAUGGGCAGCAGAGGGUGCGGCGCCUUGGAUUAGGGUUAGGGUUUCAGUUGUGUUUUACUGAAACUUAGUUAAUGUUUUGGGCCGUCUAGCUUUGGACUUGUAAUUUGGGUUUUAAAUUUUAAUUUGGGCUAGUAUUGUAAUGUGAACUGGACUAUUUUUUAUUUUCUAGCGGGCCGGGUAAAUUUGGGCAUGUACAGCUACCCUUGUCAUUAUUAGAUCUGACUUGAUUGUUUGCAUUCCGGGUUGUUUCAAACACCAAGUUUUGCCUAAUUCGGUUUAGAGUCUUAGGUCAAAUUUGCGACAAUUUUUAAUCCUAUUUCGCACGUGUCCGUAUCAUACGGUGUGUUACAUAUAUUUCAUGUUAACGUACAUAAACCAAUUAUUAAUAGUAGGAAUUCAUGAAAUUUUUAACGAAAGAAUCUAUUUACUCAUUAAUCUAACCUAUAUGGACUAAAUUGCUCAUAUUUUUUGAAUAAAUAAAAUAAAAUGCAAUCAAAUUCUUAAUACAUAACCUUUACCCAAAAGAAUAUUAGUUCCACACCUCUAUAAAUCAAGCCCAAACUAAAAACACAGAGGGUAGGUUUGGAUGGGCGGUGGGAUGCGGUACGGUGCAUGUAGCUUAUUUUUUGUCUUACAUUACAGUAUUUUUACAAUAUUUAAUUUUAUCGCCACAAUUAUUUUUAGACUAACUAUCGUCCAUCCAAACUCACUCUAAAUCACCUAAGCUAAAGUUGCACAUUGUGCCACACUGACCCUGAUAUUUAAGCUAACUUGUUCCAAAAUAAUUCAACUAACAAAAAAAAAGUUGUAUAUCAUUUAUUUGACAGUUACGUGAGAGUUUGUUUUAACUUUGAAAUAUAAAGUAUUCGGAUCUUGAGAUUUUUAAGUUGGAGUUUUGUUUUACAUGAAAAACAUUUAAAAUGUUAUUAUAAAGUUAAUUGGAAUAUAUUCAAAUUUGGAUUAAAAUAAAUUUGAAUAAAGUUUAUACGUGAUGAGACUUAAAUUCAUAAUAAAAUUUAGAUCGAGAAUUCGUAUGUGCAUAAAUACACACGGUGAAAUUAUUAAAAGCAUAUUGAUUUUAUAAAGUAACGUACAUUAUUUCAAGACUAUUUUUGUCUUUUUAUAAUUUAUAUAAAAUGUAGAAUAAUACAUAUACAUAUUAACAGCAUGUUUGGUUGCCAAUACACCCCUAAUCGGUGGGCCUCACUUAUUACGCCUCUAAUCCGUUAUUUGGUUCAAUGCAUUAUUAUUACGGUGCUAAACCGUUACUGACCUAAUCGGUGAAAUCCACCGAUUUCUAAUCCGUCCAUUUUGCUCAGUUUAGGUACUGCUUCACUUUACCCUCCCUGUUUUGCUCCCUUUGUUUCUCACAGUUUCUGCCGAUUUGCUCCCUCUGUUUCUCAUAGUUCUCCACACGCCCACAUCUCUACAAAAAUAACAGCCUUCAAAGUCGGCAGGAUUUUAAGGCAUUUUUAUUUGAGCCCUGUUCUUCUCCUUCUUCCUAGACGUGGGGUUUCCAUUUCCCAGUUCUUCUCAUCCCUUUCUUAAAGUCGGCAUCUUCCUUUGCUUUCUCCACCCAGCACCUUCUUCAAGGUUCCAAGUUCUUUUUGUUUCUCCUUUAAUUUCUGUUGUAUUGAAUUCCAUGGAUGUUAUUUUAAUUUGGAUUUAAUUAUGCCUAUUGAGGUUGUUUUUGCUCUUGAGAAUCAUAAAAAAAUAAUUGGGUCAUUUUUAUUUCAGUUUAUUUUGUGUUCUUUUAGCCUCUAUAGGGUUGUUAAUUAUUAAUCCCUACAUGUUCAUUUGUUUUUCAGUUUCUUUUGAUGGGGUUUUAUUGUUUUAAACGUUGAAAUUUUAUCUAAUAAUGCAAUCUUUCGUAUAUUUUUCAGGGUUUUGAGAGAGGUUGGGGUCGGAUGUUUAAAAUCUAUAUCUGAUAUGUACAACGAAUUAUUUUAUUUUGCUGUUCUUUUGGGCUUGAUAAUGGCUUUAAAGGUCACCAGCUUUUAGCAGUUCUGCUCAUUUACCUUCCGGCAAUUGACAUGACUUGAGUGGCAAAUGUUAUGCUUUUACCUUUUAUAACAUUGAAUUGUAUGCUUGUUGAAUCAUAUUGAAAUGCUAGAUACUUAACUGACUAAACUUGUUUGAAUGUAGGAACUACAGUUCCAUCAAACACCACUACUGCAAUUCUUGCUGCUCCCAAUUUGUCGAAUCCCAUGGCUACAGUUGUUGGUGCUGCUUCAAACCCAUUGUCCAAUCCCAUAGUUUCAAUGGUAGACGGUGUAUCCUCCAAGGUAUUUGAUGAAGUACUGAAAGCAACACCACCUGCUUUGUCAGCAUUUUUGGCUGGCUUGCCUUCUAUCGAGGGUAAUCUUUCAAACUCCUACUGCAGUUGUGCAUGCUGCAAUAUCUAAUGCUGAUGGAUAUUAACCUAUAAUUUGUAGUUGAAUUUGAAUUAUGAUCCAAAAUGCAACAUAUCAAUGAUGAAAUACGGCAAUGCAUCUGCUUGAAUUUCUCUGUCUAGUUGGCCUUUUAAGUCCCUUCUGAUCUGGUAUCCUUGGAAAAUUAUUUGUUUUGCACUCUUGGCAUUUUAAUAUCGUAUUAGAAUAACUAGUUUAUAACUUUGGAGUAAUGAUUCAUUGUAAUUUUACCCAUUUUUAUAUAUUUCUUUAAUUUUUUAAUUCAUCACAAGCUCCAUGCCAUAGGGGCAAAGCUAGAAUCAAAAAAUAAAAAAAGAACCUCAUUGAGGAAGAAAGUUCAGAGAAUAAGGUAAGAAAACCAAAAAAUAUUGCAACUGAGAGAAUAUACAGAGCUAUGUUUCUCCGACUCUUCAUUUUGCUUGAAGUAUCCCUUUUUUAUACCCCUGUCAGAGUCUUCAUUUUUCUUAAAGUAUCUGGUUUCAACACCCAUGCUCGACGAUGAAAGAACCUCUUUGAGAAAGUUAUACAAUAGAUUUUGUUGAAAAAUAUUUGAAGUGAAAAUUUUCAUCAUAGUUUCUGUCAAGAAUACAUUAAAUGGUAUAUGUACAUGUCCACACAAAAAACCAUGUUACUUGGGUUCGGGGAAAGUGUCAAAUAAGGAUAUGGGUAUGGGAUGUGAUCCUUGUAUGAUACCCGUGUGGAUGCAUGUUUGGCCAUCGGUAUGGGAUAUGAUCCUUAAAGGAUUCUUCAAAUAUAUAGAAAAACUUAAAGAAAACUGAAUAUUUCCAUAUCUGACACAUAUUCGUAUCUUGAUAUCCUUAUUUUUUAGGGUUUGUUCUUAUUUGAAUAGCCUUUGUUGUAGCUAUUUGCAAAAUCCUGGUGAUGAACACCUAAGCCUUCAGGGGACAGGGAUAGAUCCCUGGCCAUAAGGAACUCCCUUACCUAUGGUGGGAUAUAUCAUAUAUCCAACUGGAUUGAACACCAUAUAAUUUUAAAGAAAGCGUAGCUAACAUCAUGUAUUGAAAUGCAGCAAAGGAGAAGUCACCGCAGCUAGAUGAUGGUGAUUCAGGAUUUCCUCCCCGUGACGAUGAUGGUGGUGAAGGUGGCGGGGGAGGUGGUGGGGGCAACUGGUCAGGUGAAUUCUUCCUUUUCGGAUUCCUCGCGUUUCUAGGCUUCUUAAAGGAUAAAGAAAGCGAAGAAGAUUACCGGGAUAGCCGAAUAAGAUGAUGAGAGAUUCUCUACAUAUUGAUAACAUUUUUAAAACCUAUAUUGCAUGUUGUUCUUCAUGUUAUAUACUUUUGAGAACCCAAUGCAUAUCGUUCUUCAUGAUAUAUUUCUAUUUUUGGAACCAAUUGCAUAUUUGAACCAUUUGUAGACUUAAUUCAAACAUGCAAAUAUAUUUAGUUAAAAAAGGACUAAAUUAAAUAUCAUCUAUACUUAUUAUAAAGUCUAUAUUUCUAUUCUCGUGACAUCAACUCAAUCAGUAUAGAUAUAAAUAAACAAAAGAUGUCACCAACAAAAGAUAAACAAAAGAUGCAGAAUGUAAUUUUCAAGUUAUAUUUUGAUUUUAGUAAAUUCAUAUAAGAACAUUUUAUUAUUAAAUUAUAUUUAAUAUUAAUUAUUUUAAAUUAUAUAAAUUCAUAUAAGAAAAUUUAUUAUCAAGAAUUUUAUGAAAUUAUAUAUCAUUAUUAAAUUAUAUUUAAUAAUAAUUAUUUUAAAUUAUAUAAAUUCAUAUAAGAAAAUUUAUUAUCAUGAAUUUUAUGAAAUUAUAUAUUAUUAUUAAAUUAUAUUUAAUAAUAAUUAUUUUAAAUUAUACAAAUUCAUAUAAGAAAAUUUAUUAGUUAUAAUAAUUUUAAAUUUUAUUAAAUCAUAUAUUUUAAUUAAAAUAUAUUUAAUAUUAAUUAUUUCAAAUUAUAUUUUAUAGUAUCAUAUAUUAUGAUUUUAGUAAAUUCAUAUAAGAAUUUUGAUUAUUAAGAAUUUUAUUAAAUUAUAUAUUUUAAUUAUAAUAUAUUUAAUAAUAAUUAUGUUUAAAUAUGAUUAAAUUAUUUAUUACUGAUGUUAAUAAUCUUAUUAAAAUUUAAAUAACAAUAACAAUAAUCAUUUACCCAACAAAUUUAUGCUAAGGGUAUUCUAGUCAUUUUAGUUUUUUCCAUUAUGCUAUUACACCUCUAUUCCAUUCAACCAAACACAAAAAUGCUAUUACGCCUCUAUUCCAUUCAACUAAACAAUUGAUUUGCUAUUACGCCUCUAUUCCAAUACAACGAACCAAACGUGGCCUAAGAUUUGAACUCAGGAUAUCGCAGUUUUCACUGUCUAAAUUUUAUCAAUUCAAUCAAAGUUACAUUUGAUUUUUAUAUUAAUUUUUAUAAAUUUGUUACAUUUUUUUUCACUUACAAGCGUGUCAUAAUCUAGUAUUAAUUACACAUUUAAUUAAUCAAAUAUUAUAAUUAUAUAAUUAUACUUGUAAUUAUUUUUUGUAAUAACAAAUGAUUAAAAUAUGUUGUAAGUCUUUGUACUCUUUGUAAAUUUGAAAUUUAGUCUCUUUGCUUUUUUAAUUUCAAGAAUCAGGACCAAUUUUAAAUACUGUUACAAUUAUUUUAUUAAUUUCAGGUUCAUUAUAAUAUAAACUUUUUCAGUUACGAUGCUACUAAAUGAGUGUUUUUUAUUUCAAAAUGUCACACUAAUAAAUUCAACAAAAAAAUUAACAGUGUUAAUAAUUUAAGAUAAAAUUUGAAAUAUGAAAAAUAAAAAAUAUUAAAAUAUUAAAAAUAAAAAUACAAAAAUUAUAAAUUUAACUAAAAUCUAAAAUCAUGAAGAGUAGAAGGAGGCAUAUGUUAAACAUAAACUUGUCCAUGGGUCGGGUCGGGUCUUAACAAAAUUUUAAGUAUUUUAAGUUUGUUUGAUAGGCUCGAGUCUGGUCUAGCCCACCCGUAUUAAAUUUUUUUACAUUAUUUUUUAUAUAAUUUAAAAAAUACAUCACAAACACUAAAAAAAUUAAAAUAAAUAUUUCCCGAUAAAUUGAAAAAUAAAUAAACUACUAGCAAAACUAACAAUAAAAUAAGAGUUAUAAAAUAUCCAAACAAUAAUAAAAUAUUAGCAACAUAAUAAUUAAAUAACAACAAAACAAUGAGAAAAUAACAAGAAAAUAAUAAGAAAACAAUAAUUUUCCUUUUAUUUUACAACUUCGACUUGAAAUAGGGUCUUAUUUGAGACUCGACCUAUUUUCUAAACAAAUAUUAUUUUAUUAUUUAAAUUUAUUUUUUGAGUCCAUAUUUUUAUUUAAAUAGUAAUUAGGGUAAAACUAUAAAACGGAAAAACUCAUGAAAAAGUAUCUUGAAAAGCUGACAGUAGGUGGGCCCAACCCAUUCAUGCGUUACAAUCUUAGUAGUAAAUAGUAAACUGAAAAAAAAUGUUGCCAUUUUGCAUUUGAUCUUCUUCUCCUUUUAUUUUUUCCUAUAUUGCCCAUCUGAUUCUAUAUUUCUUAUCUGUUUCAAAUUAAAGCAGCCAAUUCCAAUUAUUCAACAAAUCUUUUUAAAAACUAAAAAGAAAUUCAAACAAUUUCAUCUUUCGUUCUUCUUCUUCUUUAUGAAAAUCUAAAAUUUGCAGAGCUGGAUCGUUAUGGCUAUCAAAAUCCCAGCCUUAGGAUCAAUGUAAGUAUCUGUUUUUCCUUUCUAGCAAUUCUUUUUUUAAAAAAAAAAAGUUUAAAUCUAUUUCUUAAUUCUGUAGAUUACACUUUUAUCGUCUCAGUUACUGAUUGUUCCUUUUGGUAGAUUUUUAAAUUCUUCAUGGAAACCUAAAAUUUCUUGCUGGAAAUGAUGAAAUGUGAACAUGCAUGAUGCAAACUUAGUUAUUGAUUACUUCUUUAAUUUUCAAUUUUUAAAAUAGAAUCACUGUUGCGUUCUUCUUAGUUACUUUUUAUUUUUCCAAUGAAUUUGGUUGUAGAUACAUCGAGUCAUGCAGGAGGCAUGGUGUUGCACCGAGAACUGGAUUUUUAUCUGCUCUCUUUAAGGUUUGUUCCGAUACGUACUUAGAUUUUCAUGUUCGAAAAUGUUACGAAGUUGCAUGCAUAUUUGUAUGUUUUCCAGUGCCUUGGAAUGAACUUUGAAUGUUGAGAAUUUAGACAAAAUGCGCUCGGAGCUUCUGAUCAUUAGUCUAGGAGUCUCAAAUUGGUUUGCCAGGCUUGUGAUUCUUCUGAUCAUACAGUCGUGCUGCCAGUGUAUUUCAAUUAGAGAGCUGAAUGCUCUUUACAGCUUCGUUGUCUUGUGAGAGUGGCAUUUUAGUUAUCCUGCUCAGAGUAGCAAGAAAUAUGUUUGGCGUCAUGCUUAAUAGUUCUAAGCUCUUUUUCUCAGACCUCUUUCAGGUGGUAGUAGGUAAGGAAGGAUUAAUUUCUGUUGUUCGGUAUAGUGCGGUUGAGAUGUUCUAGGAGUUGGAUUUUGGGGCUCAGUCUUAUUACAAAAUGUUUGAUUGUACACAGUGCACCUUAUCAUCCAUCUAAAAGCUCAGGCGUGCUGUUUAUGCUUAGUUUAUCUAUAAUCAUGCAUGAAGUGAUGCUUCUAGGUGAAUCCUAACAAUGGAGGACUUAGUGAAGUGAAAAAGUUAUUUAGCUGGUUCUAUAGCUUACAAGUGAUCCAAAGACACAGAAAUUGGUUAGUUACAACUAAACAUGGUUAGUGAUGUUGAAUGAGUAAAGAAUGCUCUAGAAAUCCAAAGACCUUGAAGCACAUGCCUAAAAUGUUUGAUAAGUCUCGAAUAUGAAGAAAUAUCCAAAGCUCCCUAUAACUUCAACUCAGGUUAUUAACAUCCCAGUGUUUAGGUAAUAAGCUUAGAAAUGUAAUAUGAAUAAUCCAAAUAAUGUAGUCCAUAUUGUUGUUUGGUGUAGCUUUAGGUGUGUCUGUUAAGGUGGCCCCGGGGAGGGGGGGGGGUUGGCACCCUUUGGUACUAUUGCACAAGUCUCUGUGGUAAAAGAUGGCAAGCUGUUAUAAAGUCUAGUUUGAAUGUUUUUAUACUAACAUCAUAUCCAAAUUUUUGGCUCAAAGGACCGUGUUCUUUCUCUUUAUCAUAUGUGGCAAAGAGAUUGAUUUCUAUGGUUAAAUAUGAUAAACACUAACUACAUCUUCAUAUCUCCUUGGAUUUCUUGAGCUGAAGAAACAUAAUUUUCCUUUCUUUUUCAGUGUCUGUUUAUAAUUAUUUUGCUGAUGUCUGUGCAAGUUAAAUUAGAUAAAUACUUUUCUCUUGGUUGAACUUUUCAGGCUGAUGUUAAAAAAUCCCGCCAUGAGUUAUGUGUACUGGAGAUUUUAUUGGACCAUGUGAAGGAUGUUGAUUUUCAUCCACUUCUUGAAGUGACUACAAGAAUUGGUGAUUCUGAGAUUGAAGCAGUUGAUGUGCUCAAUGAAUCAUCUUGUGCAUUGAAUGGAGAAUAUGCUUUAGUUCUGAUACGAUCUAUUGAUCAGAAACUUCGGAUAGUUGAUCUCCAGGAUUUGUCAUUUGGGAAGGACUUCUUGUGGUAUAAAACAACGUUUAUUAUGCAUUAGUAUUCUUUAGUAAAGUAUCUGAUUUUAUACUUGUUUUAAUGUGUCAGACUUUAUAUUUUUGUUGCCACUCUUCUUAGGGAUAAUAGAAUCGUGAAGUUGUAAAAGUUUGUCUGGAGAAAAUAACUUUAUUGGCUUAACGUGUUGAAACAUUUUCAAACUAAUUAUAAUAAUUUAUGAUUUAAGUGGUACUUCUACCAGUGAUAUUUUAUGAUACUUAAUCUACUUGUGUGUAUUUCAGGAGGUAAGUCUCUGCUUUUAGGAUCUCAAUAGGGAAAGUGUAUAUUUUGAGAAAAGAAGAAAAGAAAAAAUGGUAAAUAAUGCAAUUAGCUAAUACAAUUUAAUGCUUUUGGAAAUGUUAACCUCGGUUUCCCUUUUUAUAAUCAAUCGUGUAGCAUAAUCCCCCAUAUGGUAGGAUAAUGAUUUCUCCUUUUUUUUUUCUUCCUUCGAAAAUGUAGUCAUCAAUGACCAAAGGCUCUUGGUCAUGAUCACACAAGAAACUAUUAAGCUAUUUGUCGUUGUCUUUGGGUUUGGGUAGUGUUGUGAAGAACCUUAACCAAGCCUAAGGUUUUAGUGAGUUGAAACUUGACAACUUGAAAGAGAAUAGAAGAGAACAAUCUACAACCAAAUAACGUUCUCCUUGAGAUGUGUGAGAACGUGUAAAACAGAUUUUAUACAGACUUGUAUUGGCACUGCUUGUGACCAAUACAAACCCAAAUAUUCUUGUCAAGCCUCAAUAUAGAAAAUAAUAAGAUAAAAGCAUUAAAGAGCUUGUUCUUUUACUUAUGGUACUUUUUGAGUAACCUAAAUAUCUAAUGAUUGACAUUGCUGAUUAAAUUUCACUUUUUGCCUUUAUCUUCUCUAUAUCAUAUGUCUUGGAUACUCUUUUAGGCAUAGAUAGAGUAAUCAGGUGCAUAGGAUGGCAAUUUGUUUUAGUUUUAGCUUUAGGUUAUGGUAUGGUUCAUUUUUCCAAUUUUUCCAUGUAUUUGAAGGAUCCUUAGAGGUCAUAUCUCCUUAUCCAUGAGUUGAACACAAAGUGUCAGAUACCGGUACUUCAUAAAAAAUGUAGAGUCCGAGCAACAUAAUGGGUUAGCACUAUGUUGGCAUGAUUUUUGCCAUGGCCAAUGGGGAUUGGCAAUGGAGAAUGUGGUUUCUGUUACACGUGUCCUACAGAAGAUCAUGAUUUUUGGAUCCUUCGUUAUCCAUUUAUUGAUGGAGCUCCACUUUUCCGUAGAAUAAUUUGGAAAUUUAUAUAUUUUCAGUAUUCACCCUUUAUUUUAUUUUGAAUAUUUCAAUAACAUGUUUUUGUUUGAAAAGAAUCUUUUGACGUUAGCCUUGGCAUGCAAUAAUCGGAUGCAUGUUCAAAUUGUAAGAAGGUAAUGGGAGAAAAAAGAUGAGGUUAUUGUACUCUUCUUUGAAUUUGUUCUACGAGUUCUAAUAACAUAGUUCCUUUCUAUAUUGCUUGGUACAAUAUUUUGAAGGUGAUAUUCAUCUGGGAUUUUUUCUAAAUAAUAACCAUCUAGCAGGGUGUAGGUUCAUACGAAUCUUAAGGUAUUUAUGGUAAUUUCGAAAAUCAACUGGGGUGAUAAAAAUCAAGAAGUAGGACGAUAAUUGACAUAAAAGGAAAUUGAUUAUCAUAUUAAACUCUCCAUUCAAUAUAUAAGGAAAACCAGUGAGUUCUCGAUAGUAACGCAUUAAUGUUAUCUAUGUAUCAUGUAUUUAUGUUGAAACAAUGGUUAGUGAAGCUUUAGACAGGUUUCCUUUCUUGAUAGUUCCCUCCGAAUUUUCAGCUUGUAGUCUUUCAUAAUGUAGUAGUAAGUAAUCAUUAAAUUCUAUAGUUACGUGAGGAUAUUUGGAUGAAAUACUAAAUCAAUGCAACUAGAAAAAUCGAUUAGCAUUAUAUGCUUUUCGACACGUGUUAAAUGUUUAUUCAAUGUAACCGAUCUUUGUGAAAAUGACGUCAACAUUGUCGAAGAAGUUAAACGUACCUUCUAGAUUUGAUCAUAUAGUUGUCAUUUAGCUAAAAGUGGCUAUAACUUGUCGUUUUGUUAUAUUUAGAUCGGCUUAGACGGGGAUUUCAUUUGUCAAUAUGGCUUUAGAAAGAUUUGGCUCUUUUUCUCCUUCUCUCUUCCUUUCACCGUCACCGUUCUUCUUCUUCUGCUGCUGCUACUUGAAUAAAUUUUCAGGUUCUAGCAUCACUAGGAACCCUUUGUUCCUUUAGGCUUACUAUUUCUCUUUGCGAACUAAUCUUUAAUGACUACUAUAAAUGCUAAUGCAUAUUUGAAAGAUAUGAAUUAUCUCUGCUUGAGAGGCCUUUGGAAAAGCUCUUAUCACUGUUCUCAUGAAUGUAACAGGAAAACUCCCGUUUCUUUCUUGGUUUCUCAUUUUCUUCUAGCUGUUUUCGAUUUGCAAAUGGUUGAGUGCACAGAGUGCUUCUGUUAGCCUCUAGUAGAUGACAUGUCAAGGAGCUGACUAUCUGUACCAACUGGAGCGAUUAGUUUGAUUUGUCACAGUCAAGUUUAGAGUUUGCUGUGGCUCUUGUUAGAUUGGGCCUCUCCACAUGUUCCCAUUUGGUUUAGGUUGGAUGCUUAGCAGUUACAUUAAUGAUUUCUUCUUGGUCAGCUUAUGAGAGGGAUUAGAAAUACUUCAAACAUUCACAUUUUGAUAGCUGCUAGAUUUUCUUUUGGCAAUGUUUCAAUUAUAACUGAAGCUGAAUGAGUGCUGUUGCAUAAUUUGGAGAUGCCUGAAUAUGGUGAAUAUUUUGGGCCAUUAUUAUGUUAAAUUAGUUUCUUCUUUCUCUAUUUUGCUUAAGUACCCAUUUUGUAAGUUGUGUUACACUUUCUUGAUUACCGCCCCUUAGUUUUGUGCUAUCUAGAUGAUGCAUGUUAUGAUAGUUGCUUUAUCUCUGUUGGAAAAUUUUGUGAAGUUAAUAAAUGGUUUUAUAUGUCUUCGAUUUUUUUUAACUAAUUUGGGUUAUCAUUUAGGGAUGUUUCUCAACGAGGGCUACAAUGCCAAGUUCUAAACUUGAGGUCUUCGCAUUUUCGGAAGCUCAACUUGGUGGGCGAAUUUUUGCGGUUGCACACCCUUAACCUUGACUAUAGCACCAUGCUCAGUAGCUUUCGGGAGGAUUGUUUUUCUUCCAUGCCGAAUCUGAUGUGUCUCUCAAUGUGUGAGACCAGAAUUUCCAACUUAUGGACUACAAUUGCUGCACUUUCCAAACUUCCUUCUUUGGUGGAGCUUAGGUUUCAAAACUGGAUAUGCUGCAAUGAUGUUGGAUCCUCUGGAUCUUCCGUUGGUGAUGAUCAAACUGGACCCAGUCAGCUGAGCAAUGCAUCUCACCUUGAGAUGCCACCUAUUAGUCUUAAUUUACUUAUAGAUCUUGAUGUCAUGACUGAACAGGCAAUAAGAAAUUUGCUUCCAUUCAGUAUGAAUCAGAAUUUUCAAAACACAAAUGAGGACUCUUCGGAUGAUAGUGAAGUAGAUUUUUCUAUUCACCUGGAGAAUGACCAAUUGGACUCAUCACACAGUGCACCUCCUGGGUGGAACAGAGAAAUCAAUCUACCGAGUGAGGUGAAUCUAUGGCCUCUAAUCACCAGGUUCUUUAGCUGUUUUGUUUAUAGCAUACUGUGGGGUAUUAAGGUGCUAAAAAAAUGAAGUUUUUGGUUUGUUGUUUAAUGUGAUAAUGGUAUCAAGGAGAAAUAAUUUUGUUUGCCACACAGAUAAUUCCUGAUAUGCUAGUUAAAUUCUCCUAAGUUAGUAGUUAUUUUUAAUAGUAUUUCCUUAUCAUUUCUCAUAAUCUCUAUCUUAAUAUUAGGUGAAAUUUCCCUUAUUUUAUAGCUCAGAAAUAAAUGAGCAUAUGGUAGGAUUUAGUUCUGGCAUUCACUCUAAAUUCCUAGUAGACUCAUUGACUAUGAGAGUUUCUUUGGAUUGUCUUGUUUAACAUCUUUCUUCUAAAGCCUUGGUUUUGAUAAUCCUUGUAUGUUGUUCUGAUUCAUUUGGCAGGCUACUUCUGCUGCUUUGUCAAAUCAAAAUGGAGAAGAGUCUUCUGAAGGUGCCAUCUCAGGGCAUGUUGCAGAUGUUUCAUUCAAGUACAUUUCUGAACAUGCUUCACCAAUAUGCUUUGAGCAACAUUAUAGGGAGUUCAUGAUAGCUUCAAUACCCCAGUUGAGAGUUUUGGAUAACUUACCUAUCAGAAAUAUUGAUAGAGAAAUGGCUAAUCUGACUUUCUUUAAACAUUUUGAGCGCCUACCUUAUAGAAGAAGCGACAAAGAAAGUGUUGUUAGUAUAUUGCAGAAGCGAGAAAUUAGAGCAAUCCCUUCUAGCUUCCGGACACAAAAGCAAAUGCCAAUGGAUCCUGUUGGGAAGUCGCAACAUUCUUAUGCCCGAUCUCUCUGUGCUGCAAAAAUGGGAUCUUCAGCUUGGCCAUAUAUGCAUUCACUUUCUAUUUCAGGCAAUGAUUUGGGAGAUGAAAACGGUAGCUUUCGUCCAAGGCAGUUUGAAUAUCAUCCGACUAACUCUAGCCUAAUGGUCUUUGGAACUUUAGAUGGUGAAGUAGUUGUUGUCAACCAUGAAAAGCAGAAAAUUGUUAGUUACAUCCCUUCAUUUGGGACAAUGAAUAGCGUGUUGGGGCUCUGUUGGCUCAAGCAUUUUCCCUCUAGGGUGAGUAAAUACUAUGAUGUGCUCCUAAGAGAGGUUAAAUUAUAGUGCUCUCUAACUUCAUAAAUGCGUUUGCCUACUUUAUUUCCUUUUCCUUUUGAAAUUUAUUGUUUUAGUAGAAAGUAAACACUCACCACUUUAGAGAUCUUAACAAUUCUUCUAAAUUUCAUUCCUCAGUGCCAACUGACUGAGUUUUACCUUUUUCAUUCAGCUGAUAGCUGGUUCAGAUAAUGGCUCACUGAAGCUGUAUGAUAUUCAGCAUUUCCCAUCAACUUCCAACGGCUUGCGUACCGCUAGUUCUGUCACCUUUGAUGAGUUUGAUCAAUUAACAUCUGUUCAUGUUAACUCUACGGAUGAACUCUUUCUUGCAAGUGGGUACUCAAAAAACGUGGCUCUGUAUGAUAUCAACAGUGGAAGACGGUUACAAGUGUUCACUGAUAUGCACCAAGAACACAUUAAUGUAGUCAAGUUUUCGAACCGAUCCCCAUCAAUUUUCGCUACUUCAUCAUUUGAUCAGGAUAUUAAGAUGUGGGACUUGAGACAGAAGCCAAUAAGGCCUUGCUACACUGCUACAAGUUCUAAAGGAAAUGUGAUGGUCUGCUUCUCGCCAGAUGAUCACUAUCUUCUCGCCUCAGCUGUUGACAAUGAGGUAAUUUUUAUAAUAGCUAAUAGCAUUAGUUUGAGUGUCUGUGCUAAUCUUGUUCUAUGUAUUUGAACAUUGAGUUUCAUACUUGGUCUAUGAUUAACCUGGUCCUUAAAUUCUGGACUUAAAAAUAAUUGGAUAGAUGAGGCUAUGAAACCACUGAUUGAGAAUAAAUUUAACUAGAAAUUCCAACUAUGAUUUCACCAAUUUUGUGAAAGAUUUUCUGCGAAUAGAUUUUUAGUUUUGCCAUUAUAGGCAUUUUCAUUUUCCACCUAUAUUUCAUUUUUCAGUUUUGAAUCUUACCUCUCCAAGAGGGUGGAUUCAAGUUAACCAGCCAAUAAAUACAAAUUUAGCUGAUAGCACUCUUACAAACUGCCACUUUGGCAGGGUCAUAAUUUGGGUAAUGACUCUCGUGGUUGUGGAAGUGCCACCAUAUUGUACUUCUAAGAGAAUCUAUAUCCUAGUUUCCGUUCCAUUGAACUUGAAUAUCUCAGUUUUUGUUUUUCUUUGGCCAAGACUUGCAAAACUCAAUUGAAAUGCUCUCUUCUUAUUUCGUUAGUUUAAAUUUGGAAUUAAAAUUUUCUUAAUUGUAUUUUGCAAACAUUUAUUCCUUUUCUAAGAAUAUGCCAUUUAAAGGAACCUUUACUUUGAACUUUUAUUAUUGUUAUUAUUGAAGUACAUAUUGGUAUGAUUUUGGUUUGAAAUGUUGACAUUGACAGGUAAAACAGCUCUUGGCUGCUGAUGGAAGCCUUCACCUGGAUUUUCAGAUACCUGCUACUGGCAGCUCGCAAAACUACACUCGUUCCUACUACCUGAAUGGUAAGGACUAUAUUAUAAGUGGGAGCUGUGAUGAGCAUGUUGUCCGUGUUUGCUGUGCUCAAACUGGGAGGCGUCUCAGGGAUAUUUCUCUGGAGGUACACGUGUCUUUAAAUUUGCACAUAUUUUGUGCUCCGUAAUUUAUGAAAUAUAGAUCAGUAUGGAGACACGUGCCCAGCAUGGACCAAAAUUUAAAGACAGGAUAUGCUUUUGGAUAGGUUGCUAAAUUAUAGGAUCGGAUGGAACAUGCUUAACUAUAGUUAUGUGGUUUUUAGGGAUAUCCGCAAGUGAAAUGAUCUAUAAUACGACAGGAAUAAGCCAAAAUAGUUUGUAGGAAUAAAACUUUUAAGAUUUGAACUGGGGCUGAUUUGUUUGGUUUUAAAAUUUUGCUAUACUAGAAAAUCAUUAUAUUAAGGCAAAGAAUCUAAAAGCAGAAUAGGAGAUAGGAACCAAAAAAUGUCAAAAGUCAAAAGACUGCUGAUGAAGAGAAAGCCAGAAACCAAGAAACUAGGCUGCAGUUCGAAAAUUUUAAAGUCAAAAGUAGCAUAGGAUAUUAAUGCAUUCAUCUUGUGCAGGGAAAAGCUUCGGGGAGUUCAAUGUUUGUGCAAUCACUGAGGGGGGAUCCCUUUAGGGUGAGUUAAAUCAUUUUUCUAGUGAUACUUUAUAUAUUGACAUUUAAAUUUUUUUUGUGGAUAUUCUUUCCCACCUUAGUGUACUUUUUUGUUUUAAUCUUUGUUAAAUUGACCAAUCACAAACAUUGCAUGUCGCUGCUAGUGUUCUGGUGACCUUGUUCUCUUGUUUGUUUCUUGUGGAUGUCAACUAUGAAUUACAUGUCUGGAAGCACAAUUCAUAAACCCAUCGUUUCUCAGAUAAUUUAUGAAUCUGGUACACGGAAGAGCAGUCUAUUUUCUAGGGAGUUCCUUAUAUUAAUGAAAAUUCGAAUCAAAUAGCAGAUUGAUCUUGGUCAUUAUAACUAAAUACAUAUAUUUUAGUGGCUAUGAUUAUAUCUUAGGGGUGAAUUAUCACUCUUGGUGCUUCUUCAUAUUUGGCUUUUCCACUUAUUAAUUUUCAAAUAUCCCUGCUUCCAGCCUUUCAACAUGAGCAUAUUAGCUGCCUAUACUCGACCAAGCUCGAAAUCUGAAAUAGUCAAGGUAUAUUAUAUCUCACUGUCUCGUUUUUUUCUUUAUAUGGCCGGGUGUCUCAAUCUUACAUUGAUGCUUGAACCCCAUUUCUUUCAGGUCAAUUUGCUGGCUUCUUCAGAGUGUAACAAGGAAGCUUCAUCUGGUGGGAGCUCUUUCCCAUUCAAUAGCAUGGGAGGUUAAUUUAUGUAUACAUACAAAAGCUACAGUAUCUAUCUUCUGCUACUUUAUGACUCUAUAGGUUGAACAAUCACAGUUUAUACAGGUCAGCAUAUAGUCAAUGCUAACUAUUAAAACAUUGUAAAAUCGAUAAUAUAGAUUAUUAUCGAAUAUACUAGCAAUGAAGUUUUUUAACUCCACAAACCGAAUUAAAAAAUUGUCACAUGUCCUUAGUAUAUAUUUUUAAAAAAAUAAAAAAUUAAAGAUAUGGAGAUGUGGCUGUUUUUUAAUCUAGUUUGUGAAGUUAAACUACUCAGUUGUUAAGUGUAUGGAAUAACAGUCUGAUGUUAUAUCUACAUAAUGUAGGUAACUGAACAAGGGUCUUUCUGUUGCUCUGGAACAUGUUAUUUAAAUGCAACUCUUUCUAAGACUUGAAUGCUUUUUCUCUUUGUUGGGUUAAGCUAAAAUCAUGAAUUCCUACAAAAACUAUAUUGAUUAGGUUAAACUAUGCAUAUGGUCCCUGUACUUUUCAAAAGUUAGGAAUUUAGUCUUACUUUUUAGAUUUCAAAAUUUAGGUUCAAGUUGUUACCACUAUUUUUUUUUGGUUAAAUUCAUUGUUGGGACAUUUAUAAAAAAAAACUAUUCACUCAGUAGCCAUCUAAUUCAAAAAAAAGAUAUUGUAAUUAAAUUGGAUUUAAUAAAUAAUUGAAACUGAAUUUUAAAAUCUGAAUUAAAUUUUUGGAAAUACAAAUACAGUGACUAAAUUUUGAAUUUUUUAAAAGUACAGGGACAAUAGGCAUAUUUUAACCUAUUGUUUAUAGACCUCAUAGUAGCAAUGAUUAUUGAUAAUUUUGAUAUUAAACAUUAGAAAUCAUUGUCCAUAAUCAUGCAGACAUGUUUAGGAUUUGUCAUUUUGCUUCGUACAUAAAAAGUUUAUUUUUGCCAUGCUUAAGUCAAACAUGAAGUUUAAAUUUGUACAUGCCAUUUGCCAACACCAUAUGUGAACCAAUGAUUAAGAAUUUCGCAUCACAUCUGUAGAUUAGAAAGAGAACCAGUCAAGUGUUCUUCAAGGUCGGGAAUUAGAUGGUGGAGGUUUAACUAAAAAUUUAGGGGUUAAUGAGAAUUUUUUUAAAAAGAAAAAGCAGUUUAAUUAAAGUUUUAAAAAAUUUUGAGGGUUUGAUGAGAAUUUUUAAAAAUUUAGAGGGUUUAAUUGAAACUUUUCAAAAAUUUGAAAGGUAUAAUAAUUUUUUAAAAAUAUUUUAGGGGUUUAACUAAAAUUUUUGACAUAUUUUGAAAAUUAAUAAAACUUUUGUGGGGUUAAGCUCCCUAUUAAGGAGUUUAAUUAUCCUCCUUUUAUUUUGUUUUCCUUCAUGUUUAAAUUAAUCAUUACAAAAGAAAAAUUAUUAGAGGGUUUUUUUAAUAAUCUGAUCAUAUCUGUUUUUUUUUUUACACAACUCUUAAAACUUUCUAUUGUCUCUUUCCAACUCAUUAAUAGGAAUCAGCGUAUUUGAACUCAUGUUCUCUUGCAUUGGUAACAAUGCUCAUGCCAAUCGAACUAAAACUCGACCGGCUUCUCAAAUAGAGUUUUAAGUAACUUGCAAUUACGCAUAUCUUUGUUAUAUGUAUUCGAGUUAUAGUUUUCGGUUUGAUUAUUAUUUAAAUGUAUUCAGUUUUGGGUUUUAUAAAAUAAAAAACAAUUAUUUUUUAAUUGAAUUAAUUUCAACAAAAAAUAAAAAUAAUGCUUGAAGAGUAUAAAACACUAUUUUGAGGCUCAAUUUUCAUUUUGUAUUAAUUAUUCUAAGUCUCAUAAUAGCUUAUAAAUAAAAAUCAAUAAACUUAGAAUAAUAAAAUUAUUUAAAUCCCAUGGGAUAAGUUAUUUUGAAAUAACAUUGAUAUUUAGUACAAAUAUGUUUAACAAUUUAACAAUAACAGUCGAUCGAGUCUUAACUUGAUUAGUAUGAGUAUUGUUGUUAAUAUAUGAUGGCAAAGGUUCGAGUGUACUAAGCACAUUAUCUUUCUAUUUAUGGGUUAAGGAGGAAUUAUGGAUAGUUGUAUCAGAAUCUAUAAUAAAAUUGUUAACAGAAAUAAUUUAACACGAAGAAAGUAGGCGCACAAACGGAGAAAAAGUGAAAAAAAAAACCAAAGGAAGAAAGGAAAAGGAAUAUAGCAAUUAACGAAAAGUCUAAAACACACCGUAUGGACAGUGCUUGAAGUUGAAACCCACCGCUCCCUCAUUAUCUGCCAUUAAACCUCCUCCUUACAUCUCAUUCAGUGCACACUCCUUUUUGCCUUUUGCUUUCCUCAUAUCUAUAUAUACACACACACACAGUUCACUAUUACACUCAACAUCUCAAACUACUUAACACCAUUAAAUAAAAAGAAUGAAGGUCUUGUUCGCAACAUUGCUGGUUUGCUCUCUUCUACUAUGUUCCUCAAUUUUGGAACCAGUCAUGGCACAGCCUCGGUCACGUAAUAUUGUUAAUGAUAAUAAAUAAUAUUACCACCUUUUUCUUUUUUGAAUUGCUUCAAGCUUUAAAACCUUGUGUUGUGUUGUUGCAUUGCAGCUUCAUGUGCGGGGAAAUGCAAGGCGAGGUGCAGGAAAGCAGCGGUGUGGGAGCGGUGUUUCAAGUACUGUAGGAUAUGUUGCGAAAAGUGUAAAUGUGUGCCAUCGGGAACUUAUGGGAACAAACACGAGUGCCCUUGCUAUAGAGACAUGGUCACCAACAAGGGCAAACCUAAAUGCCCUUGAACUCACAUUUUCUCUCUUAAUUUCAAAAUAAUAAUGAUGAUGUGUGGAGAUUUCCAUGGCAAGACAUGUCUUUAUAUGUUCAUGAAAAUAAUUGUUCUUGCUAUUUAAUUUAUGUUUAUAGUAGUAUUUAAUCUAUAUAAUCAUUGUCGGGUGGAGUAUCUUAUUUUAUAUUUAUAUUUCAGUAUUUAUGCAAUAUAUUUUAUAUUUAAAAAUUCGAGAAGCAUGAAGCGGCGGAACUUAAAAAAAUAUUUUAGACGAAAUUAAAUUGUAUAUAAUUUUUAAAAGGUUAAAUUAAAUAUUUAUUAUGUUUGGGGAGUCAAAAAGUACAAUUUUAUUAUUACUAAUUUAAAAUUUUAUAAAUUAUAAGGAGCUUAAAUUAAAAUUUUACUAUUUUAGGGGCCUCUACUAAGCUCUGCCACUGUAUAUGUAAUAAAAAGUAUAAAAACUUUUAGGAUAGUUAAAAUUUUGAUGAAGUGAAUUCAAAUAUUUGUGAAUAUUUGAUUUAAUUAAUCACUUGCCCAAAGCUCAAAGGCUUGUCCAAAAAAUUGAAAGGUUUGAACAAAAUACGAGGCCUGAAAAAUAGAUUUGGGUAAAUUUCAAGACUCAUUUUCUAUAUGGAUUGGGCCUUGGACAAAAUUUUUUGGCCUGAACUUGACUCGACCUGGCCUGGAUAUAUUAUAUUAUAAAAAUAUUACAUUAAUUAUAUAUUUAAAUAAUAAUUAUAUAUUUAUAUUUAUAUUAAAUCACUAACUGAAUAACAAUUAAAUUCAUUACCCAAAAUCUAAAAAAAAAAUUAUCCAACUAAAUAACCCAACCCAAAAUAUAAAUUUUAAAAAUUAUAUUUAAUACAAUAAAAUAUUUAUUUAUUUUUUAAUACAAACAUUUGUUAUAUUUAUGGUAGUGUUUUUUAAUAUAAAUACUUUUUAAUGUGUUAAAGAACUCUUAUUUUAACCUUUUUUUAGUACAUUUAGUGUAUCAUAUAUAUUUUAAAUAAAAUUAAUCUAAAAUAUCAAAUAUGGGCAGACCCAGAUUUACCUUUCUUAAAUUGGGUCGGGUUUGAGCAAAAAAAUAAGCCUAUUUUUUGGGUUGAGCUAGACCCAGGCUUGAAACAUUGGUCUAGAUACCUUGUAUGGGUCUAGCCCAAACCCGACUCGACUCAUUAGCUCAUUUUAUAUUUACGAUAUGUUUUAUUUUUACGGAUAAUAAAUAUGGAUAUUCAAAUUCAUUAUGUUUUUUAAUUUUUUAAAAAAUAUAUUUUUAUAAGUAUUAAAAUAAUAUUUAACGUAUCCUAAUAUAUAUGAUGAAUAAUUUUAUUAAUUUGGUUCAUAUAAUAAUAUUUAAAGAAUAAAAAAAUUUUGUAUUUCUCUUGCACGAUAAUUUUUAGAAUUGAUAUGUUAUUUAGCACAUGAGUUUGGUUAAAAUGUUCAAUUUGAUAUACGAGUCUCUUUAACCUAAUUUAGUACUUGAUUUUGGUUUCAAUAUUCACCCUGGUACUUGAGUUUUCUUUUGUCCUAACUAAGUAUUUGAGUUUGGCUUUAAUAUUUAAUUUGAUAUUUAAAUUUUUUUUGUCGUACCUAUGUUUUCCUUACUAGGGUACAUAUGUAAACACAUUAAUUGGGACACAUGAUUUUAUUUAGCCUAUGUACCAAAUUGACCAUUGAAAUCAAACUCAAAUGUCAAAUUGGGAUAAAAAUUUAGUACCAAAUUGAAUAAUGAAACCAAAUUCAGGUACCAAAUAAUAUAUUAACUCUAGUUUUUAUUUGGAUUGCUGUGAUAAGAAACCGGGCCAAAAGCCCAGACAUAAUUUAUCCGGCCCAAACUUUUAAAACAAAAACGACGUCGGCUACUCCACCUACUCCACUGUUUUCAAAAAUCGAAGCCACAAAAAAAUCCACAUCUCUCAGUCUCCGCUUCCCAAAAAUUCAAUUAGAUUUUGAAAUUCCAGCGAAGGGGGAGGAGACACACACACACACACACACACACACACACACAGAUCUUCAAAUUUCAUCAAUGGAUCAUUCAAAGGUUCAAGAGGUAACUUCAAUGAUAAACCCUUAAGCUUUCCAUUUUGGAUCUUUAAUUUGUCUUCUGAAUUUAUUUAUAUAAAUAUUUCGAUUCUUGUCCAGAUCGUGGAGAAGCAGGUAUUGACCGUGGCGAAGGCCUUCGAGGACCAGAUCGACGAAGAGAUUGCGGCUUUAGAUCGACUCGACCAUGACGAUCUGGAAGCUAUUAGAGAGCGGAGGUUGCAGCAGAUGAAGAAGAUGGCAGAGAAGCGAAGUCGUUGGAUCGGUUUAGGCCAUGGUGAAUACUCUGAGAUUCCAGCUGAGAAAGACUUCUUUUCCAUUGUUAAAGCUAGUGAACGAGUCGUUUGUCACUUCUAUCGCGAAAAUUGGCCUUGCAAGGUAUAUACGCCUAAUUUUAUUGAAAUUUCCUUAUUGUGAAUGCUAAUGAGUUAUUGAAUCAAAAGGCAAGUAAUUAUUAUGAAUUUUUUUCUUUAUUUAGAAGUAGAUUUGAAGAUAAAAAGCAAUCUAAAUCCGUCUUUUUUGAGUUGAACCGCAGGUGAUGGACAAGCACUUGAGUGCACUGGCAAAGCAGCAUAUAGAGACACGUUUCGUGAAAAUUCAAGCUGAGAAAAGCCCGUUCUUGGCUGAGAGGCUCAAGAUUGUUGUUCUUCCUACACUUGCCCUUAUCAAAAAUGCCAAAGUCGAUGAUUAUGUGGUAUUGUUAAAUGUUCUUUCCAACAAAAUUUAACAUCUGAAUUUGGUCUUCGAUCUUUUUGUUUUUCACUGUUUGCUAAUAGUUUUUCAUGUCUGUAUUUUGAUGGUGUGAUUCAUUUGCAGGUUGGGUUUGAUGAGCUCGGGGGAACAGACGAGUUUUCCACUGAAGAUUUGGAGGACAGAUUGGCUAAAGUUCAAGUCAUCUUCUCUGAAGGCGAAUCGUCAUCGAAGCCCAGAACACAAACCAAAAGGAGUGUCCGACAGAGCUCGAACCCAGACUCGUCCGAUUCGGAUUAACUGUGGGUUGUCUCGGUUUGUAAGCUUUCUUUACCUGUUUCAGUGGAAAUCAAUAGGAUUUAUCAUCAUUCCAUCUUUAAAUACUGUCAAAGCAAAUGAAGAGAAUAUCAUUUGUUGUAUGAAUGAGAUCAUUUAAUCAUCUAUAUAUAUAUAUAUGCUCAAUCUAAUUUUGCUGUAAUUUUUGUUUCGAUUUAUGCAUUCGGAUUUGGUAAAUUUUUUGUUUCUGCUUAUGCAUUUGGAUUUGGAAACGGGUGAUUGAAAGCCUCAUCUCACAGCAGAGGGAUGUGAGCCAAAAUGAUCAACUGCUUCCAGCUUGUACUAUUUAUCUACUCACUAAGGAUUUUGCAUCGAAUCAUUCUCUAUGAGAGAGUUGGAACUGUCAUUAUUCUAAUAUUACUGUGGAUUUUGUUAAGGAGUAUCUUAAGAAUAGUUUUUCAAGGUUAUUAUAUCUACCAGGCAUAUGCUAUAUGCAAUGGGAGAAUUAAAUUUUGUUCCACCAAUAUUUUUACGGAUUUUGUCUACUCAUUCCUUAGAGUUAGUUGUUAUUGGGUCGGGUCAAAUUCAAGUAGAUUUAUACAUGGUAUCAAUGAUACAUAUAUUAUUAAAAAACCGGCUUGGUCAGAGAAUGUAGGGCACAUCUAAAAAUAAGGAAAAAGUGCCGAGUGAGUCUUCGUUUGAUUGGGGCUAAUGCAAGAGGACAUGGAUUCGAGUGCAUUGAAGUGUAUUAUACUCCUAUUUAUGGGUUGGGAGGGGCGCAUUGUGUAAAAAAAAAAGAACAAAUAUGAUUAGAAUUUAUAACGAGAUUGUUUAAAAAAAUAAGGAAAAUGAAAUAUAAUUUACCUAAAUUUUGUUUAUUUUAUAUUUUUAAUUAAAAAAGUUCAGCUAGCGAGUUUCAAGUAACAAUUUGAUAAUCGGUAUGACGGAUUAGUACUCAUCGGCAGGGAUUUAAAUUGCGGUCGCGGUCGCGUUUUCGGUCGCGUCGCGUUUGUCGCGGUCGCGGACAUAACGGACGCUAUUGCGGUCACUGCGGGUAUCGCGGUCGUGAAUUUUUUUCAAAUUCGCACAACUUACUGUAAAACAUAGUAAUUAUAAUUAUAAUUAUAAAAAGUCACUUUUAAUGAUUUUUAGAGUGUUUUCUAACACUUAUGAACCUUUAUUAAUAUGACAUGAGAACACAACUUUUAUAAUCAUUAAUUAUUCUUAUAUUUAUUUACGAAUUUUCUAAGAAUGUUAUAUUAACUAAUAACAAAGUAAAAAAAAAGAAAUAUUAAACAUUUAUCAUAUUUAAUAAGUUUGAAAGUUUUUAUAAAUAAAAGAAUUGAGAAUUCAUACAUGAGAGAUGUCUUCAAUAUUUCUUGACAGCUUUGAAGAUAGUGAAGAUAUAAAUACGCUGCAAAAGGAAAAAAGGAAUAGAUAAAUUAAUGAAUAGAUUCUCAUUAAUUAUUCCUAUUUCCUACCACUUAUUCUCAUCUCAUUCUACUUUCAUAUAUAAUUUAACAUGCUUCGAUUUUUCAUUAUCUUUUCAUAAAAUAUACUUCAUUCAUUUAUCUAAAGAUAUAUAUUAUUUUAAAUGUUUUAAUAUCAUCAAAAUUAAGAACAAUAACAAAGGAUUUCUUUAAAAAAAACAUACCUUACAAAUAAUGAUAGUGGCACGAUUUAGUUUUCACCAAUUAGUGGAAUGACGAGGAAGAUCAAAUCCUUCACCUUCACUUUGGGAGCGUUCUUGACUUGAUUCUCUUGGCCUUUGUCCAAAAAUAUAUCCAAAAAAAGCAACAUUUUCACCUUGGUUUUCAUUCAAUUGAUAUGGAGGAUAUAUUUGAGGAGGAGGAUACAUGAAAGGUGGAGGUGGGUGAUACAUUGGUGGAGGAGGAUACAUUUGAGGCUGGUAUGGCACACCAUAAUUAGGAAAUGGUGGAUAAUAACCAUAUGGUUGUGGAUAACCAUGUGAAGGUUGUUCUGGUGGAUAAAAACCUUGAGUGCUAGUAGAUGAAUCACUAUACCCAAGGUUACUAGAACUCGAUCUCCUACCACUACCAGAUGAAGAGCCUAUAGAAGUAUGCUUCUUGCCUUUUCCCUUUGAUGGAGCUCUAGGUUCACUUCUAUCUCUCCUAGGUUCAGGAAACAUAUUUCCAUCAAACUCUGAUCUGUCACGAAAAUGUCCACCAGUGGUACCACCCCCAUAUUCUCCUCCAUACUGACUAGAAGACCUAAUUUCACCUCUAUCACCACUAUAUCCGUCAUCCUCAUCAAUUGGACUUAAACCACCACCAUCGGGUCCAUCGCCACUCUGACUUGGAGUUGAACUAGAACUUGAAUGAGACAAAAUUUGUUGUUGCGAUUGAUCAACAUCCAUUUCAUCAUCAGAGGUAUCCACAGGCAACACACCGGCAUUUUCACCAUCUAACAAUGGAUUCUCUUUCUCAUGAAGCCAUUCUGAUAGUGGAUCAACAUCUUCAAAGAUAUAAUCAAGGCUGAUAGGAUUAAAACUAGCAUUUAUAUCAUCAGUGCUCAUUCUUUGUUGAUGCCUCAUCUUAAGCCUCAUAUUAUAAUAGGUAAACACUAGUUUUUCAAGUUUUUUAUACUUUAACCUAUUUCUUGCCUUGGUGUGAAUAUAACUAAAUGUGCUCCAAUUUCGUUCGCAAUUUGAUGCUGAAGUUGUUUGACUAAGCACUUUAAUUGCUAAUUUUUGUAAUUCGGGAACACAUGUGCCAUAUAUCAUCCACCACUCAGCUGCAUAAUAUUAUUUAAAUUUCAAAAUAACUUUAAAAUGUACAAUAUAAUUAAAUAAUAUAAAUUAAAUUAAAUAAUUCAAUUAACUGUUUACCCGGAUUCAUUUGCUUCCAAGCUCUUUGUGCUUGUGGAGUACCGAAUGUCUCAUGUUUAUCUCUAAAUAAUAACAACUGCAUAAAUAAAAGAUAGAGUAAAAAUAAAAAUAAAAAUUCUAUUUCAAAUUAUUUAACUAAGUUACAAAUAAUAGUAGUUGAAUCUAACCUGAUUAACCAUUCUGACUUGAGUAUCCAUAGAAGGUUCUAAUCUUUCAAUUACUGAUCGUGUACCUUCUAAUGUUUCUAUUAAUACAUUCUCAGAAUGCUCCACCCCAAAUUGAAAUUGAGGGUUGAGAAAAUAACCUAAGUAUAAUUUAUAAGAAUAUCAUCAAAUAAUAAUAAUCUAAAGCUUAAAAUAAUAAAAUAUAAAAAUAGUUCUUAAUUAUAUGAAAUAUUUUAUCUUACCAGCUGAAUGCAAGUCGGAAUGCAUAAAAUUCCAUCUAUUGUCAAUAAUCUUUUCAUACUCUGUGAAAUAUCGACAAUUUUGUUGAAUUGCUCGUUUAGCCCUAUCAACAGCCUCAUAAAUAAAGUCCAUCGUUGGUUUUUCAUUGCUAUCCACAAGUCUCAAUACUCUUACUAAGGGCUCAUAAACUUUUAUGAGGUCAUUGGCUUUUUUCCAAAAAUCUUUUCCCAAAACAAUUUUUUUGGCUUCAUAAGCAGGCCCUGACUUUUGCUUUCCCCAUUUUGAUUCUUUAAAUUCCUAUAUAUUCAUAAGAAAAAUUUUAAAAUAAUAUAAUUUAAAUUAUUUGGAACUAAUAAAAUCACUAAAGGUUACUAUAUUUAAGUAAUUAUAUUAACUAAUUAUAAAAUACUGACCUUUGAAUUAAACAUUUCUCUCAAACCUUGCUUUUGUCUUGUUAUCUCUUCAAGUUGAAUGAAAUGAGUUGCAAAUCGAGUAAGAGCGGGUCGAAGUAUUUGUUUCCCUUGUGUAUACUUCUUCAUCAAAUCAACAGUCCAAAUGUGAUUGUAUAUAAAGCAAGUCACUUUCUUUGCCUCAUCUAACACUUUUGCUACACUGGGCUUUUUCCCAAUAUCUUCAAGGCAUAAAUCUAAACAGUGAGCUGCACAUGAGGUCCAAUAUAGAUGUUGUCUUUUCAACAUUAACUUUUUUCCAGCAGCUUUCAUUGCUGCCUCAUUAUCAGUCACUAUUUGGACAAUGUAAUUUUCUCCAAUUUCUUCUACAACUGAAUCUAACAAACGGUAGUAGAAUUCAGCAUCUCUACUACGGACACUUGAGACAUCUACCGAUUUCCAAAAAAUGGUUCCUUUACUGCAAUAAACAAGGAAAUUAAUGAUGUGCAUUUGAUUCAAACUGUUGGUCCAACCAUCACACAUUAGAGUUGCACCCAAUUCUUUCCAAUGAGUCUUUAGUACAUUUACCCAAUCAUGAACUCGUUGAUACUCUGACUCCAAAUACACAUCUGAAACCUCAUAAGGUGUUGGGAGCUUUACACCUUGUCCAACUUCUGUUGCCACUUGAAUUAAGUUAUACAACCAUGGAGAGCUUGCUAAUUGAAAAGGAAGUCUUUCAUAUAUUAUAAAUUUAGAUACCGCUUCACCUAUCUUCCUUCGAAAACUCUUUAAAAAAGAGUCAUUGACCUUUGGUUGCUUUGAACUUUUGCUUCUAACCAAUUCAGGUAUAGCUCCCCUUAAGGUAAACUCAGACUCACCUAGAAUAGAUUUACUUGUUCUUUCUCUAUUAUGUUCUCUAGCUGAUCCAUGAGAAGAUCGCCCUUCUUCAUAAAUGUUAUCCCAACCACCAGUACUUCGUCUGAAUUCUUCCCUUCUAUGCCACUCGUGUUGUGAUUGGAUACUUUCUCGAGUUGCUUGCCUUAUAGCAGAAACCUCAUCAAUGAAUCCCUCAUGCUCAUCCUCCUCUUCUAUUAAUUGAGAUAAGAAUUCAUCUUUUCUCCUCCUUUUGUCUAUUUUCUUUGUGUUGCUUUCUUUUAGUACAUUCAUCAUACUUUCUCUAAUGACACCUGUUAAUAAAAUAAAAAUAAUUCACACUUUAUAUUAUUAUCAAUUAUAUAUAAUCUUUAUUGAUAAAUUUACAAUAACAUUUAAUAAUAAUAAUAAAGUAUCACAUACCAGUAACAUUAGGGCAUGGUGCAACAUUGCCGGUUUUAUGAGCAAUGUGCUCUUUCAGUCGUGUUAUUCCUCCUUUCACAACUUUACCACAAAGUUUACAUACGAUACUUCCUCUCGCAUUUGGCACUAGAGUUCCAAAGUGCCAACCUAUAUCAUUACUUGGUGCACCCUCCAAUCCUUUAGUCGGGAACUCUUCACGUGGUGGCAUGCUUUAUUUUUAUUUAUAUAAGAAACAUAAAAUUAUAUUUAGAAAUAUAAGCAACUCAUUACUUAUAUAGUUAUAUUAUCAACAAUAUAAUACCAAAAAAAGUAAACAAAAUUUAAAGCUAAAGUAAAGACCUAAUAUUAUAGAAAUAAAUAAAUAUUGUGUAAAAAAAUUUAAUAAUAAUAAUACUGGUAAUAAAUAAUAAUAAUAAUAAUAAUAAUAAUAAUAAUAAUAAUCAUGAUGAUGAUGAUGAUGAUGGUAUUAAUAAUAAUAAUAACAAUAAUAAAAAUCUUAAAAUUAAAAAUUAUAUGAAAGGAUAUACUAUAUAGAUAAAUAAAAUGAUAUAAUAAAAUAAAUGUAUUUAAAAUAUUUAGGUAAAUAAAUAUGAAAAGAAAUAUAAUUGAAAUAAUAAUGCAAAACUAAUUAAAUUUUAAUAAUAUGGUAAUAAUAACAAGUAAAUAAAUAAUAAAAUAAAAAAGGAAAAAUAAUAAUAGUAAUAGUAAUAUUAAAUUAAUUAAUUUAAUAAUAAAAUAGCAAAAAUAACAAAAAGGGACUAAAUCGAACUUAAAACAUAAAUUUGCGGCAAAUCCAAAAUAAAUAAAAAGAAAAAGGACCAAAUUGAAUGCACAAAUAACAAAAAUGGAUCAAAUGGGAAAUAAUCCCCAUCCUUCAAAACGCACAGCUUCAAGGUGGACCAAAUUGAAAUACGAAAUAAAUUAUAGGACAAAAUUAAAAAAGAAAUAAGCUUGAUUGUAAAUAAUAAAAAAUAGGAAGGGCUAAAAGCGCAAUUAACCCUUCUGUUAAAAACACGCGGAUCCUAGGAAACGGGUCGGGUAAGUGCGCGGGUUAGGCCGAAACGGCGUCGUUUUGGUGCCAGAGUGGCCUGCCCAAAACGGCGUCGUUUUGAAGGCCUAUUUAAAUGAAAAAAUUUUCAGAAUAUUCAUUUCUGCCAUUCUUCAAAAACUUGCUUUUGCCUUUUUCUCUCAAUUAUUUUCUUCUCUGCCGUUGCCCAGAAUCCGGCCAUCGGCCACCGUGGCAGCCGCCGAUCACCGGCGACGGCGCCGCCGUGCACGGUGGUCGAAAAUCGCCGAAAACAUUUUAACCCCCCUUUUUUUGUGUAGAAUAUAGAUCUAGGGAUAAAAAUAUCAAAAAAUCACUCUAUGUUGCAGAUUCAAGACAUGCAAGUACUUUACUGGUUAGACGGUUAGUUUUCUCUACUUACUUGAUCUAUUGCUUUGCUUGCUGCCUGUGCCCUGUGGCUGUGUUUUUUGCCUUGCCGAAAUAUGGAGAAUGAAGAAAUAUAUUUUGCCUUUUCGUUUGCUUGUGAAUCUGUGAAAUGUGAGUUUGUGAGUGAGUUUUGAUUUUUUUAAUCGACUUUCAGAUUCAGUCUUUUACUUUACUUUGUUUUGAUUGCAGGUUGGGAGGGAAUAUAUUCCCUUGUCUUUUGUUUUAUUAUGAAGUACAAUUAUUCAGUCUUUCUUCUCAACUUGAUUUUUUUUUAAUUUACGGAAACGGAAAAUAACGGGAAUAGCGGCCCGUUAUUGCCGCAAUUGUCCGUUAUCCGUUAAAUUGCGGCCGCUAUCCACCGUUAUCGGUGUGAAUCCGCUUCCCUCCGUUAUUUUCAGCAAUAGCGGUUUCGGUCGGCGGCGCUACCGCUAUAUAACGGCCGUUAUUCUAAAAACGUUCCGUUAUUUGAAUCCCUGCUCAUCGGCAAGUAGAAUAGCAUAUUUUAAAUCUAAAUUGAUCUGAUGGUCAGUAUUAGAUGAUCAAUGAAGAAAAUUGUUUGAAUUUUGAUUUGCAAAUUUGACUAAGUAAAAGAGAAGGGGAAGAAGAGUUUCAUUGUUGCGAGUGAGGUGAACAAAAAUGUUAUACAAUAGUGAUUUUAAUAGUUAAAUGACUUAAAUAAAAUUUUUUGAAUAGUUUAGUUUCUAUUUUCUAAAAUUGAAUAAUCAAAAUAUAAAUUUAUUAAUAAUUUAGUGACAUUAAGUGUAAUUUACCCUAAAUAAUUAACUCAUUCGUAAAUAAAAUUUUAUUUUUAUUUAAUAUUUAUUAAUUUUAUAUACUUUUUAUUUUAUAAAUUUUUAAACAUAAAUAAUUUAAAUGUUUUUUAUAUUUACAAUAUAAUUUAUUUUUAGUUUUCAUGUAAUUUAAAUUUCAUAGUUCAUACGAGUAAAAGAAAACUAAGGUUAGACUUUGACAUUAAAAUGGGCAUACCAAGGCCUCCCUAUAACCUAAAUGGGUUUAAUAUUUUGCUAAACUUAAUAUUUUUGUUUGAAUCUUCAUAAAUGUGAAGCAGGCAUUUGUACAUAAUCAGAUACCUCGAAUUUUGAAUGAAUUUAAUUUGAAUAUUUAAAGCUAUUAUUAAAUUUAACAUUUUUUAUUUUAUAUUUUUAUUAAAUAGUUGGGUAAAUUUACGUUUUGAUAAUUCAACUUCAAAAAGUUACAGAAUAGUUAUUAAAUUAAUCAAAAAAUUUUAUUUAAGUCACCGACUGUUAAGUUUUUUCUUCUUUUCAAAAAGUCCAUUACUAGUCGUCGAUGAGUAGAAAUUUGAAUUAAUCUAAAGAUGUUCCGUAUUAAAAAAAAAACUAAAUUGUAAAAGAGAAAGGGAAGAAGUUUUUCAUUGGUACGAGCAAUACAAACAAAAAAAAAGCCAUACAAUAAAGAUUUUAUUAAUCCAAUGAAUUAAAUGAAAACUUUUUAAAAUUAAAUAAUCAAAACGUAAACUUACUAAUAAUUUAGUGAACUUGAGCUUUUAUAACCUAAAUAGGUUAAAUAUUUUUGUUCGAAUCAUCUCAAAUGUGAAGCAAAGUAUUUGUACAUAAUCAGUAGCUGGACUUUUGAACAAAUUUAUUUUGAAUAUUUAAAGCUAUUAUUAAAUUUAAUACAUAAAAUAUAAAAACUAUAAUUGUAAAAAAUAAUUAAGAUAAUAUUAAUUCAAUUUCAAACUAGAAAAUCAAAUAUUUAAUUAAAUUUCCAAUAAAAAUACACAUAACAAAACAACAAAAAGCAAACCCAUAAACCAUUUUCAGUGCAGAAUUCAAUCUAUCGUCCUUGAAUAUAUGGUAAAACAAAAACUAUAAUAAUAGUUACUUCCUACACCACACAUGGUGUGCUCAAGAUGACAUUCAACAUUUCACUAAAUCCUAUCCCUAAUUGAACAAGGGCUUAGGUUUAUUAAUGGCAAACAAUGACAACAACAUUAUAAAAUAAAAUAAAAACCCAGAACCAUGCAUGAUUUGUGAAGAAGAAAAACACAGGCAAACACAAAGGAUGAUGGUAGGUGGUCAUACACGAUUAGUCUUGCUACAUUUGACACGGUCCAACACCAUUUUCCCAAACAAAUGACUGUGCAGAACUGAAUAAUGUCUUAAUAUGAAUCUCACAAGUUUGUCGUACAGAUCUCCCUGAAUGUAAAAAAAAAAACAACAAAAUAAUUAAAAGUUCAGUAGAUAACUGGAAGACUAUGACUAUGAAUAUAAAAAAGAUGGUCAAUUUCUACAAAAGGUCCUUCUACUAUUAUGUUUUUUUCCGGAAAUUAAAAAAAAAGGACAAAAAAUGAUAUAUAGAGAUUUAUCAAAUUAAUAGAGGGACUAAAUUGGCUAAAAAUGAAUAGUAAAGGUAGAGUUUGACCUAAAAAAGGAGAUGCAAGAAAUGUAAGGUUGAAAAUGAAGUUAUAGUAAUAUGGUACCUUGGAAACACGCAAGGCAGAUUGAAUAACAUAAUUUCCAUAAGCAUCUUGAAGGACCUUCAAGAAAUCAAUGUCGAACAUGAUUUCUUUGAUGAUCAUUGAUGCAUGUUCACUUGAACAUUUCAUGCAUUUCUCCACCACAUUGCUGCCAUAUUUGUUCAUUGAAAGGGAAACGUAAGUCCCUCGAAGCUGCAUGAUUAAGUUUGAGGUAACAUGACGAAGUCUCAUUCCAACUACAAAUUGCACAACAUAGUUCCUGCAAAUUUAAGAUAAUUAUAUCGUAUGCGUAGAGCACUUGCUGAUGCACCACAUUAGUUAUAUAUAUAUAUAUUAUUUUGUACGUGGAGUAUUUUUUAGAUUCUACACGUAGGAUUAAAAGUAUGAUAUGCGACUGUAAUAUAUUGUAAAAAUAAAAAAUAAAUAUAUAAAGAAAUGAGGCAUAUGUCACCCUUUUAAUCUUACUAAGGGAAUUUAAAAACUUGUGCAAAGGUGGUGGGAAGAGGCAGGUAUAAAAUUUAUAAAAUUUUAAAUUAGUAUAUAAUGAAAUUACAAUUUAAACUCUAAAUUAAUACAUUUUUAAUUUAAUUUUUUAAAAAUUAUAAAAAUAUAAAUUAAUAAAAUGAAUAAAUUAUAUUUCACCUUCCAUAAAAUUAUACAAUUUAAAAGCUAAUGAGACAAUGAGUAAAGUUCAACCCACCUAAUUAAAACCAAGAAGGAAAAACACAACUAAAUAAAUUUUCCUUAAACCUAAAAAAAAAAUCCCCUCAAAAUCUUGAAAAUUUAUCAUUAAUCCUUUUAAAAUUUUGAAAAUUUUCCUUAAAACCCCUAAAUUUUUUGAAAUUCUAAUAAAGCAUUAUAAAGAUUUAAAAAAUUAAUUAAACCCUCUAAAAUUUUCCAGAGUUUUAAUUAAUUUUUUUCAAACCUAAAAUUUUUGAAAAUCAUCAAAUUAAACCAUUCAAAAUUUUUGAAAAUUUUAAUGAGGUCCCAAAACUUAGAUGGUAAUUUGAAUAGAAAAAGGAAUUUGAGAAGCAAACCCAUAGCAAUGCUCGGAAAGAAUAAAGGCAUUUGAUAUAAUUUCAGCGAGCAUACGGUCCCUAGCUUCUAUUUGGACAUGGCUCAAGCAUUGAUUCAACACACAACACCCACUUUUAUCAGUCGCAAUGUCCAUACAAUUAUUUGCUAUUUCAUCCGCAAUAUGCUGCAACGAAACAAACAAAAACAAAAACAGAAAAAAAAUUAUUUCGUCGGCUCCUUACUACAAUUGAGAUCGAGUUGUAUGAAACAUGAAUAUAACUGAUAUUGCAUUAAACUAUUAAAAAAAUGAUACAAAUAAUACAGUCACUGUAUUAUACAAUCCUUCCUUUGAUAUCAUUCGUAAUAAGGAUUGUUAUAUAAGGAGAACUUGGAUUUAAACCUUAGAAAUUUCAUGAUACAAACUAUAAUAUAAUCAUGUUAAUACUAAUAAUUAAGUUACAAUCAAUAUCUACAUAUAUAGUAACAUUAAUUUCUAAGUAUAUACAUGCAAAAAUAUACGUGUGUAUAUAUAUAAUCAUUACUGGUACGUAAAGAUAAGCAAAUAUAGGAAACAAUUAUACCUUGGUAUCUUCAUUUGAGAAAGUAAAAAUGCACUGAUCAAUUAUAUGAUGACCAUGGAUGUUGUUCGUCAAUGUAACAGCAAUAGGUUUCAAAACCGACAAAAGUAUCGAUAUUUGUUCUUGAGAUUUCAUCCGCAGCAUAAGCUUUUGAACCGCCCAAGUCCUGAAAAAGAAAAACACAUACAAUAUCCGACCAGAAGAAAAGCUUACAGUUUCAUUGAGAAAGAAACCCUAAUGGCAUGUUCUUGGUUCUUUACCCGAGUGUAUCAGUGCAAACUUCCAUGAAUCUUUGUUUUCUAGUGACGAGUACUAGGAGUAGUUCGGUCGUUUGUUGUUGAUUGAUCACUUCGAAGAGUUUUUGGAUGACAUAAUUAGCGAACUGGUGUACCAUUAACUCGUGAAGUUGAUCUUUAACUUCGGAUAUAACCAUAUCGAUGUCUUCACGUUGGAUGAUUUUGUCGUCGAAUUUCUUUUGCAAUAAACGACAGCCCUUUUGGUCUUUGGCGACGGCGGAGAUCCGACCUUUUAGUUCCUUCAGUGAUGAACACGUGAACCAUUCUUGGCCACGAUUGUUGUACAUUGGAGGGAAUAAAUUAGAUUUAGGGUUUUCGGGUUGCGAGCCAUUAGAACUCCAUAUAGAGUUGUUGGUACCCCAGUGGGUAUUCAUCGGCCAACGCCGGUUAGUGUAAGGCAAUUCAUUGAAAGAUCGGCUCCUCUGUCGAUACACGUCAAAGCCAGGAAAACUCGGUUGCCGCUGCGGCGGUGGUCGAACCAUAGAUGCUCCUAGAAAAUCAUAGCUUCCAAACCCCUCAUUGUGAAACCCUAAUCCUAUUUGCCCUCUCACAGCAGAUUCAACCCUCAUGCUUUGUAAACGAGAGCUAUUGUGAUCAAUAAGAGUCAUUCGUCUAAAAGAAUCUUCAAGGCUUUCAAAGCUUUGUUGGGAAGGUAAUGGAAGGUUUGGAGUUAAGGGAUAUGAUCUUUGGGAAGAAUAAACAGUAGGGUUCUGGAACAGACCAUGAGUAGGGCUUUGACGGAAACUAGGGGUAGAAUAUGGAGGAAGAAACAGACGGUUUUCAUAGGUGGUUUUCUUCAUGAAAGACCAGUACAAGCCUUCAUUAUCUAUUCUCACCAUGGGGUUUUCAGAGGUGGUUUCCUCCAUGUCCAUGAACGGAAAUUGAGAACCUUCCAUAUCAUCUUUUUUCUCCAUUGGGAGUGGGGGUGGGGUUAGGGUUAGUGUAUUGGUUACAACUUGGGAAACAAAAAAGAGGGUUUUAAGGAAAGAAUAUAAUGGCAAAAUAAUAGCUGGAGUGAAAGGAGCAACUAGUGUUUGUAUCAAACAAGGAAACAUACAUACCACGUUAACUACUCUGACUAUAAAUAUAUUAUAUAUUUAUUAUAUCAUUAAAACCAUAUAUAUAUCUUCUUCUUUUUUAAUCCUUUAAUUUUGUUUUUCAUAAUUAAUUAAUCAUUAUUUCACCAAUUACCUAUGGGUUUAAACACAUCAAUUU
rnacentral:lncRNA from 1 species